rnacentral:lncRNA from 1 species
ACCAACCAAAGUUCAGGGGUUUCGAGCAUAUUAUAUAUGUUGUUUCUUUGAUUUUUCAUUGUAUAAACAAUCUUAUAUAGUCCUGUGAGAAAUGUGUCAGUGCACAGCUCAUUUAAAUCCGUUGUUUAUUUUUUAAAGAUAUGAUUUAGUUUUAUUAUCAUAGUACUAACAAGCUAAAUAGGCUAACUAUCUAUAGAAAAAGAUAGUUAGAAAUGAAAACAAAAACCAUGACUUAUAUAGUUCUAGUAAGGCAAUGUAUCUGAAGUAAUGUCCCGAAACAACAACACUCGACCUUCUCCCUCAUGCAAGCAUUUCCUAAUGCCCGAUAAAGAUGAGCUAGUGCGGCUGCACCCCAUGCCAACUCACCGCAAACGUCAAAAUCCUUUAACAGUGGCAACUAUUUCAAAUGCACUCUAUCCUCGCUUGGAUUUGGGAGCAAACUACAUCCUAUCUCAAAUAGUAUAUAUACUCUCGUUGUAGCUCGAACAAUAGCGGGAGGUGCAUCUAAGGCGAUAUCAUAAAAACGAUGGUAUAACCAGUCUACCUUUAUCUCACCGCCCCUAAUAUCCUCAGGAACCACCCCGAGAAGUAGCUCACAGAGCUCUGGCCAGUGAUAUGAUGCCUCUCCAGUCAGAGCCCCACCAUGGACGCAGAGUCCAAUAAUAACAGUGAAGUCCAUCAAAGAAAUAAUCAAAUAAAUUCAGUAAGAAACAAAAGGAUGAAACAUGAGUGCGUAAGCAUAAAAUAUGAAAAAAGUUAAGUGUAAUUUCAUAUAGAAAAACCUAGCGACUACGUCUGUUGGUCCUUCUUUGCUAAUUUUCAGGAUAUGUACUUUUAUAAUGAUCGGGCUGUUUACACAUACUACACUUGCCUCUCCUAUUCCCAGCGCCUUCGUCCAUAACAUUACGGAUACACGUAGAUUUGGGUCGUCCGUUUUUUUCUUCUACCGCAUGGUGGCAGCAUAGGUGAAUCAUAUGACUCGAUCCAAUAACGACGAUCGGGAACAGGGUGGAACUGCGGUUCAUAAGCCUUACGAUAGGAUGCGGCAGUAUACUAAGGAGAACAUAAGCCAUAAUAAUCUAUGUUCAUAUGUGAAGAACUACAACAUAAAAAAAUAUGUGAACAAGGGAUUCUUGUGAGUUGCAAAUACAAACAUGAACAUGUAGAAACCAUUCCAUUGAUAAUCACUUGGUAUUGAUCGUCCCCGCCAAUAAGUACGUCGAACUCGUGAGCUCCAAAUCGUCGAACUGUAUAUGCUCUAGCACAUCUCAUCCGGCUAUUGAUGGUGUUUUCAACAGUUGAUAUAAACUGCGUAGACAUUGCAGCACCCUCCACACGAUAUUUUAGAAAAAAUUCUACCACUCGAUGAAACGUUGCCAUCACAAAAGCUGUAAUAGGUAACGCACGAACUCCCCUCAACUGUCACACCCCAAUAAUCCCACAUCGGAUAGGAAUAGGGAUGUGAUUGGAUAUAUAAGAGACUUAAACACUAGUAAUAUAAUUGGGCUUAAGCAUUUUGGGCCGGUUGUUGGGGCCCAAUGAGUUAUUGUUGCUAGUGGGCUGGGUCAUUACAUCAACACCCCAUUUGAACUUUUCGAUCGCUUCGUUGUCAUAAUACCGAAUCGUCGACCAUCAUCAAAAGCUUUAGCCCCGUAUGUCCUAUCGGUGUGAAGAUUGUCAACCCAAAGCCAAGCUUCUUCAUCCAUAGUUUUCAAUUCUUUCUUUAAUGCAUAAUAUUCUCAUUCUUCUGAAGCAUUCCCAAUUCUCCAAAAUAUCUUAAGUAAGUGAUUUGCUUUGACAUGAAUAUUCAUAUUGCCCUUCAUAUGUCGCAAACACCAUCAAUAAGCAUGACCUUCGGAUGGUGGGAAUACAAGUGCAACGAGAUUCGCUAGCUCUUUAAAACGAUCUGAAAUCAGUGUAAUAACUCGAGAUCGUGUUAUAUACCUUCUUAGGCAACUUAGAAACCAUUCCCAACUCGAGCCAUUCUUUCCCUCACAAAUUGCGAACGCUAGUGAAAAUAAACCACCAUUGGCAUGUCUGUGGCAAUUAAUGCGUGGCCUCCGUAUUUUCCAUACAAAUGGGUAGCAUCAAUACUAAGUACUGGGCGGCAAUACUCCCAACCAUGAAUCGACGGUCCAAAAGCCCAAAAGGGUCGUGAAAACAUUCUAGUAGUGCUCGUCAUCGUAAUAAAAUGAAUCUUCGUAAUAGUUCUAGGGUUUGUUUCUUCGAACAUAGAGAAGUAUCAAGGAAUGUCGCAGUAUGAUUGCUCCCAACUGCCGUAUAUAAUUUGUAGUGCUUUAACCUGCGCCCGCCAAGCCUUGCUAUAUGACAUGCUAACGUGCAUCUCACUCUGAAUUCGAGAUUGAAUUUCCAUAGGACUCAUAGUAAGCCCUGCCUUCAGUGUAGGUAGUAUAAAUUGACAUAUAAAAGAGGAUAUACAGUUUCGAUGCGUUGUAUUCAGAAUUGGAACCAUAUAUGUGUGUGGACCUCUAUAAGUCUUUACUUUAAAAAAUAAACUACCUUUUGGUUGAGAGGCAUGUAAUCUCUAUGGGCAAGAAUCGACCACAUAUCUCACAGUGUAUCUAGUUGUAUUCGACUUAACAACUUUAAGUUGCACAUUAUGUGCAAUGUGCCAAGCUUCCAAAGCAUUCACCAAGGAUGAUUUAUCAGAAAAUGUUUGAUUAGCCCAUGCCUCAUCACUUAGAGGACCCUGAUCAAUAUUUUGUUCGGUAUAUGCAUCAACAACGGAUUGAUGAAUUAAUUCAUCACCCAGGAGAAACCGUUGUCGUUGAUCUUCAAAUUCAUCGAAUUCCACCGGAGCCAGUACAUCAUUGUUGUUGACAUUUGAAUUUUCAAUCCAUUCAACACCUUUAUCUCGAAUAGCGAAUGCCAGUGCAUUCAAGCCACCAUCAUGAUUUGGAUCCAAAGAAUGCGGAACAAAAGAUUCAUCAUCAUCAUUAGAAUUAGCAUCAAUUCACCUUUAAUCCUCUUCAUUACUUUCAAUAACAUACUCCCCAUCACUUCUAUUUACGUCAUCGGUCUAUUCACGAACACUAGAUAAUGGACCUUCACUUUGAUUAUGAGAAAUAGUAAACCUGCUAAGAUAUUUAAGAUUAACUAUUCGCAUUGGUCCAAUUUUUAUGUAGCUAAAUCAUAUAAUCACCUACCGCACAUUUUGACCAACCAACGGAGACGGAUUCAUUAUAGUAGAUGGCAAUGAUGUGCUAACUGGCACAUAUAGGACUCCAAACUCUCUGUAACACUUACAAGACAAAGUUAUUAAUUUCGUGCACCUAAACUAAUUGAGGAAUUAUGAAAAAUAUUUAUAAAGAUCAUUACUUUAUACCUUGAUGUAUGACCUCAUUCGCGAUUGACGUAAUUCUUUUGAUAAUCGCUACUCCGCAUUUCCGUAUUUCUAACGGUACUUGGACGGUCUUGUGUUGUCGACACAUGUUUCUCCACGAAUAAUUUUAUACAUCCAUGGAACGGAAAAAAACUCAUCAUGCCAAUUAGUGCAUUGUCACUUGAUACGUCAACUAAUUCCCAUUCGUUGGCUCCCAUUGGACAUCGAACCGUUAUGCGGAGACGGUCUUCCACUCGAUCAUAGUUCGUAACAUUAUAUAUUUCCAUCUCAAAUUUUCGAAAUGAGAUAUCGCGUCGGAAAGCAACCAAUUCUUUACAGCCACCAAUAUAUCGUGGUACAUUAUUGCUCAUGACUAAAUUUCCGUCCCAAUAGAUAUAGAAAGGAACACAAUCGCCGGCCAUAGAGUUCUAAAGUAAUAUAAUAAUAUGUACAAAAUUAUUACACUCAUUACAUAUUAACAUAGCACAUUUCUAACAUACAACUAAGGAGAGGAUGAGAGAUGGAAUUACCAUUUUGCGAUCACGAUCGGCGCCGACUUCUAUGCCGAUCAAGAGCUCUGGAGGGAGGCAAGGGAGUGAUGAGAGAAAGAGAGAGUGAUUUGUGAGAGAGACAGAGAGAGUGUGUGAUCAGUGAGAGAAAACUGUAUGAGAGAGAGUGAGAGAGAGAGGGAGCGGUUCGUGAGGGGGCAGCAGAAUGAGAAAGGUGGGGGAGGGCACACAGUGAGAGAGUGUGGGGAGGUGGCUCAUAGUGAAGAGAGGUUGCGGGGGCUCACAGUGAGAGAGUUGGUGGGGGCUCACAGUGCAGUUGGGGGGGGGGCCUCACAGUUAAAGAGUGGGGUAGGGGGGCGCACAGUGGAGAGAGCGUUGGGGGGGCGGGUCGGGGGCGGCCGUUGAGGGUGGCGGGGUUCGGGCGAGGGGUGCGGAAGGGGGUCGCAUGAGAGGGUAGAAAGGGCGGCGGCUAUCGUGUCAUAGAGAGAGAGAAUAGAUAGAGAGGGAUGGGACGUACGAAAAGUUUUAGGUUAGAGAGGAUACGGGUGGGGAAAAGAGAUCGGGCGUAAGAGAGGGCCGAGCACGCGGCGGCGGAAGGGGGUGCAGACACCACAGAGAGAGAGAAAGAGAGGGCGGCGUCCUGGCGGGCCACAGAGAGAGAGAGGGAGAGAGAGAGAGAGAUUGAGCGAGAGAGGAGGGUGGGAGCUCGGGCGGGGUAGUAAUACAAAGAGAACAUGGUGAAUGGUUCACCGUCGUGUUCAAACACGGUGAACUAUUCACCGUGUCGAAACACAGUUAACCAUUCAUCGUAUUUAGACACGAUGAAUCGUUCACCGUGUUCAACUUAACUGCCAGGCCCCAGCCCCGCCCGUAUGGCGUUGACAUGGCGCUUGCGUAACAGGGUUGGGAUCAUUUUUGCAAAUAUAAAUUUGCUGGGGCUAAUUUUAAAAUUAACUUUUUCCAGGGGGCCAGUUGCAAAAAAAGCCCUUUAGGAUGCAUUUGGUUCGAGUUAUAUAGCACUAUUAUAGAUUAUCUGAAUAAGAUUAAUACUGAUAUUGCGUUACAGCGUUUGAUUUAAUACAGUAAUGUAAUAAUGUAUUACAGUAAAUAUUGAAUUGCUAUGUUUGUUUCAGUUUAUAAAAUUUAAUAAUUCUGACAGUAAAGUAUAGUCUAUUCCAAAAUUAUCUUUAUUAUCAUAUUUAUUUUUUUUUUUAUCAAACUGUAACUUAAUAUAAUUUGUACUUGAAUUAAUUCUAUUAAUAAGCAAUAUAAAUAAAAAAAACCACACAUAAUAAAAAAAUAAAACCAAAAAUUAAUUUUAACUUAUAUAAGAAUAAAUUUAAAAAGACCAUAUUAUGUAAUGAUACGAUUAUUUAAGAAUAAAUAAAUUUCAAUUUAGAAAGUCAUUUAUAACGGUUCGUCUGAAUAGGAAUAGAGAAAGAGAGGGAGAAAGAGAGAGAUAUAAAUAAAAAUGAUGUAUUGAAAGUGUUUGGAGGGUUGAAGGGUUAAAAUUAUAAUUUUAUUUAAUAUGCAAGAUUACCUGCUAUCAGUAAUACGGGAUAUCCACCUUUGAACUCAGUAAUAUUUUCGGAAUAAUCUUAUACUAUUUGUAAUCUUAAAUUACCGACUAGAUUAUAUAUUAGAUGAACUAAACGUAGUAAUCCUAGCAAAAUUAUCUGUAAUCCUGACAGGAUAAUCUGGACCAAACGCACCCUUAUUCUAAUUCUGUAUACACUUAAAACAAACUCUACUACACAUCUAUCUUCACAAAAAUUCAUUUUAGACCCUUUCAAUCAUCUUGUGUUCUUCACAAAAAUUCAUUUUAGACCCUCUCAAUCAUCUUGUGUAUAUCUCUUCUUUGGCUAUAGCAUGUGUAUAUUAAUCAUAUAUGAGAAGCUUCUUUCUUACUCGACCUUUGUCUUGCUAUUUGAUGGUGAAGACAUGGAAUCCAAUCAACAACAAAAAGUUUGAGGCCUUAUCCUAUCUACCGCCACUCUCUGAGGAAUCAAUCGCAAAGGAGGUUGACUACAUGAUCUCUAAAGGAUGGAUCCCCUGCUUAGAGUUUGAUGAGGUAAUAUUCCCUUAGCCUAACAUUAAACACAAAUUUCCGUGAUAUCAUUAUCCUGAUUUCUCUGGCUUAGAUAAUGAGGUAAUAUUCCCUUAGCCUAACAUUAAACACAAAUUUCCGUGAUAUCAUUACCCUUUCAAAUGUAGCUAGCUAAUUGGGUAUUUAUUUUUUUAGAUAAAUGAUAUAGAUGGUUUCUGAAUCAUUGGAGGAGUUUAAUGCAUUGUGAAUUUCCAAGAUCAGCAAUAUCUGGAAUUUUGUCACUAUCAACUUCUCUUAUCUGUUGUUACCUUCAGAUUCUGAUGGAAUUACCUCAACUCAAAGAGUGCGUUAGAAUUGGGGUUCAAAUUGAAAAAUUCAAGCGCAUUUGAACGAUCUAUAGUUAGAGGGCUGUUAAUACUCUUCUAAAUAUCAUUUGCUAUUAAAACUCUCAUAAAUAAAUCAUAAAAGGACUAGAUGUUCUGAUAUACUUGUAUAAGCCUAAAUAGUUGUUAGGAGCAUUAAGGUGAUAAUGUUUUAUAAACAUUACCCAAUUAAGACCGAUCGAUAUUGUACUAAGUACUCCAAGAAAGUCCGACUGGUAAGAUUUACUCCCAAGAUUUGAAUUACCAACUUCAAUCUCUUUUUUCUUCAACUUUAUUAUGAGAUUAAAUUCAGCAGUUCCAACGGCUCACAACCUUCUAUUUUCAGCUGGAAUGUUCUUUCCAGAGUCACAAAGUUUUCACAGAAAUCAAGAUAAUGCUUAGGGAGUUAAAAAAAAAAAAAAAAAAAAAAAAAAAAAAAAAAAAAAAGCCUGGCAUUGGGGCUUUGCUAAUUUUGAUUUACCAGUCUCCUUUUCUUCUCCUUUUGGCUACGCAAAAUUGUUUAUAUACCGAAACCGAAGAUGCAUGGUUUACAAUAAUUGGGAGUUGAAGGCAGGGGAGGUGCACAGGAGCAACAGCCGGAUGCCCGGCUACUACGAUGGGAGAUAUUGGACGCUGUGGAAACUGCCGAUGUUCGGCUGCACCGAUUCUUUUCAGGUCCUCCGAGAAAUUGAGGAGUGCAAGGAAGCGUAUCCUACCGCGUACAUCCGCCUCCUCGCCUUCGAUAAUCAACGCCAGUGCCAAUGCAUGUCCUUUGUCAUUCAAAAGCCUACCACCAUCUUCACCACUGCUGCCGCCGGAAAUGCUUGAUGAUUCAUGAGAUGAACGAGCCUUGCAGUUGAGGCUUCUCAUGAGUUUGUUUUGUAGACCACAGAAUAAAAUCAGGAUCAGAGUGGAACUUUUCCGGAUCAAAGCAACUUUAUGAACGGUUUAAAAUACUGUUGUUGUGAAGGACCAGGAGUCAUCUAUUUGCGCCAACUCCUCUGUGAUGAAGUGAUUGGUAUAAGUAUUUUGAAUUUGUUAAUCUGUGCAAAACUCUAAUCAGGGAUGAAAAUGGCUUAGCCAAGGUUUAAAGUGCCGCCCGUACUGUGCGGUACGGGGCGGCACGUAAGAGGCACGGUGUAGAGAGGGUCUCGGACCUCCGGCCGUGGCACGGAUCUGCGUAUUGCGUGAGAGAGUGCGAUACGUUCGUGCCACGGCACUGUGCUGUGCCAGCAUACUAUUCUUUUUUUUUGCUUUUUUUGCUUUUUUUUUUCUUUGGAUAUCAAGAAGCAUCCCACACUACUAAAAAUUUUGCAAAUUGAAAAUCUACUUAUUAGAUAAGCAAAAAAAAUUAUAAUUUAAUUUUUUUAUUUAUCAACAUACUGGCAAAUUUUUAAAUUUAUAUAUCUGAUCCAUACCACAGACAUCUGCUUCCAUCACAGGCAUUCAUUUUUUUCAUAUAAAUUAUUUUAUUAAAAUUUAUCAUAUUGUAAAACUUUUGGCAAAUUAAGUCCGAGCCCCCCGCAUCCACUAUAGAUAUCUAUUUUUUUAUUAAUUAUUUUAUUAAAAUUUGUCGCACCAUAAAAUUUUUGCCAAAUUAAGAAAAUAAAAUUGAACUCAAUAAAUAAAUUUUGAAAUACAUCAAUUAGAAUAUUUUAUUUUUGCAUUAAAAAAUUAAAAAUACUGAUAAAAUAAAAGCUAAAUUAAAUCAUUGAUACUUAAAUUUAUUUAAUUUAUUUGUUAUAUAAUUUAUUACUUGAUUUUUUUAAUAGAUCUAAUAAUUUUUUAAAAAAAAUUAAUUAAAAAAUAUUUUUUUUCAAAUACUUUUUACAAUAAUUUGUUCAAAUAAUUUUAAAAAAUUUUUUUUAUUUUAUAAAAGAAAGGUUGUAAUACGAUCAAAAGAAAAGAAAGAAAUAUAUUUUUGCAUUUUUAAAAUUCAAAUCUGUAAAAUUUCUAUUUUGCAUCAGGAGUAGUUAUACUUUAUACACCAAAAAAUUUACAAGUAUGUUAAUUAAUAAAUAUAAUAAGCUAUAUAUAGUAAAUAUUAAUAAUUAUUUGAUUAAAUUUUUCAAAAUAAUUUUCUAAGAGUUUAUUGGAAGAAAAAAAAUUAAAAUAAAUCUGUACCAAAACAUACCAGUAGGUAGUGUGUGAGUACCAAAACAUGCGUAUUCAUCAGCACACAAACGUACCAUAUAUCAACACCAAAGCAUGUGAGUACCGUGCCAUCCCAAACAGAUAGCGGUAUGCUUUCGGACCACGACACUUUAAAUCUUGGGCUUAGGUAUCAUCUUUCCGGUUUAAUUGUGGGAUUCGAGCUUUGCCAGAUGUUGAGCUUACUCUUUAGUAUAGAAUCGUGAUUGCUGUCGUGCCACCCACACUUGUCCAAUCGUCACACGGUUGAAAUACCCUGUCAAACUCUACAUCUCCCACAAAUCCUUUUACAAAUUUAUUUUAAUUAUAUUAAUUUGUUGUCUGGUUUGUGCCUGCCGUAUCACGAAAAUAUGGGAUGAAACACUAGUAACCAACCAUUUGAUACACAUGUUAUAUAUCUUAACUGGAAAAGAAGAACGGAUUUGGAUAUUGUUUUGCCACGGUCUAAUCCUUUCCCACGCUUACUCAAACCAACUAAAAUAAAUUAAACCUAGUAGUUUUCCAAAUGUAGAAAAAAUUGCACGUGAGUAGGGGUGGCAAUCGAACUCGCUGUUCAUGAACCAGCUCGUGCUCGACUCGAAAUGAGCUCAAAAUCGAAUCGCUAGUUUAGUAAACGAGCCGAACACGAGUAGAAUUUUUCAGUUCGUUUAAUAAACGAGCCGAACACGAGUUAGAGUCAGCUCGUUUGUGUUCGGCUCGAUAACAGCUCGAAUACAUAUAUUUUAUAUUUAUAUAAUUUAUUUAAUUAGUAUUUAUAUAUAUUUAAUAUAUAUAAAUAAAUAAUUAUAUAAUAUAUAUAUAUAUAUAUAUAUAUAUAUAUUUAUUUAUUUAUUUAUAAAUGACUUAUUUAUAUAUAAAAUUUCAACCAUUAAUUCAAAAUCUAAUAGGUAAGAUUUUAUAAAUUUACUUUUUAUGUAUAUCUAAUCUAAUUUGUUUCUCGUGUUUGGUUCGUUUAUUAAUGAGCUGAACACGAACUGAAUUUUUUGGCUCGAUAUUUUAAUGAGCCAGUUUAUAUUCGGCCCAUACUUAAAAGUGCCGAACACGAGCCGGCCCUAGCUCGCUCGUGUGCGGCUCGUUGACACCCCUACAGGCUACACGUGAGUUCAUGAAAGCCUUCAACCAGACCAAACCCAACGUGGCCCCCACCCCUUCCUCGCCGACACCCAAACACCUCGAGGGAAAGAGGAAAAAAAGGAAAAAAGGAACUAGAAGCUUCAUUACAGAAAAUUAUGUACUAAAUAUACAGCGGUAAACAUUAGGUAGGAAAAAAAAAAAAAAAUCCAGUGCUCAAAACUAGGGGGGGAAAAAAAUCCACUCCAAGAUAACUACAGAAACUGCUCCGCACCAAAAUUUCCAAGGGAAGGAAAAAGUAUAUGUUUAAAUAACAACUACAUCAUGGACUGAAGUGCCUUCUAAUAAAUAAAAGACAGAAUUGUACAGUCAGAUGAGCGAUGGAGUGGCUUUGAAACGGGCAGAUGAACUUAAACUUAAUUCUAACCUUAGUAUCUGUCUUCUAAAAUUGUUGAUUUAAGAAAAUUACAUCAAAGUUCUAUCAGACUAAUGAUUUCCGUCAGAUAAUGUUGCAAAAUAUUCCGUCAGGGAAUAAUCUUACUUCUUUUAAGAUUGUUAGAAAUAUUGUUCAUUUGAGCCAAAAUGUUGUGACAUGAUGUAUAGAUAUUAAAAUUUUAUAGUUUAACUGAAAUCAAGUUUGUACUACAAUCCAAAUAUCACAGUACAACGAUACACCACCUGCUGGAAAAAAACUUGAAAUGAUUAUACUGAAAUUAACCAAUUUGGCUAUGUAUUGCAAGAAUCCUCUAUUUUCACUAUGAUCUAAGCAUGUAACAUUUCUAGGAAUUCCAUGGAGGGAAAGGACCACAACCACUAAAUGAGAAAAAGAGUGUUCGGAAUUUAGUACUCGCUCUGAUACCAGAUUUGAAAAUCUGCAACGCGCUCAAUCUGAUACCGAAUGCUGUUGACCCGGUACUCGCACCGAUACCUCGUGUUGGGAUUCUGCAAUGGAAGGAUCAAAUUAGAUUUUUUUUAUCAUAAAUCCAUCUUCUCGGUAAAAGCCGGAACAACCAAAUAAGAAGGAAAAGCCAAACAUGAGUAUAAAGUAUCACAUAUGUCAUUGAGCACACUUUGGCUCUUACACACCAUACUCAUAUGCAACGAUCAAUAAAAUCAUUAACUACAUUAAUUACCUUUUCAUGUAUCACACCACUUAUUUGUCUCUUUGGCACUUUUAUAUUUUGUCACAUUUCACUUUGUCUUUUCACUGCUUAUUGCCCCUACAUGUCAUAGUAUAGUAUAUGUGCAGGAUACAGAAUUUAGGUUUUUAUGUCAUCAGUGACUGCUUGCUAGUUAAACAUAAUUUGGAAGCAACUAAUACCUCACCAGCAUGCUUCCUUGUUAAACAUCAAUAUAGUACCAUAGUUGACAUCUCACUAGGACCAAAAGAUUUGACUAGAGCAGGCAAAAUAGAUGUAAUAAUUAGUUCGCCAUUUCGGCGACAAAUACCUAUCUAAUCCAACCUCCAAAGAAAGUAUGUCAAUCUCAUCUCUGACACCCUCCUCACAGCACUACACCAACACCAGAGCACAAUAUAACUAUUGCCAUGUGGUGUGUCCAAAUUGGCGGGUCUUAAUUUAACCCGAUCCACAUUAGAUGUGGAUUAGGAUUUAUCCUAAUAUGUUAAGGAUAAGGAUGAAUUAUACGUUUCUUAUUAGUUAAGAAACGUAUCUCCUAGUGGAUAUCUAUUAUGGAUAUCCCAAUCCUAAUCUUUAUUCUAAUCCCUUUGUGAGAUUCAGGAUAUUUUAGGGGUUCCAUUAUUCUAUAAAUACGCCCCCCUUUUUUCUCCCGUAUGAGACGAUCAUAUACGAUCUAAUUCGAAAGAAUCAACGAUAAAUUUUCCUUCUCUCUCUUCUUUCUAUCUGGAAUUUCCACCUACGUUCCUGGGGUUUUGGAGUGUGGACAUAGAAGAGUACUCUGUUAGCCCUCUUCGAUUAGCAUCCGUCGCAUUCGAUCCCUGUCCGACACAUCCGAUCCGUUACGCAAGGCGUACGCAUGGGAGAAGGCGAAAAACGUGGGAGAUCUAGAAGCAUCUUGUAACGUAUCGCAUCCCCGUGAAACGUGCUGAGUUCCAUCGAAACGAGCGGAACGCGGAGUUGGACAAGCUAGAACAAGUUACAAUAGGUUCCAAGAGCUUUGGAGCCAUUGUAUAAGGUGUAUGGACCCAUGAGAGUAAACCUGUGAAAAUCUGGCUAAGUACCAGAAAUUGUGCUUUCGGGGUCCGGACCCUAGCUGCAGGGUCCGGACCCCAUAUGCGUGAAAUGCCCUGCGCGGGCUGACUGGGAGUGGUAUUGCUCUUGGGAUCCAGACCUUAGCUUCAGGGUCCGGACCCCGUAUACGAAAACUGCCCAGGAGGGGAUGAUGUGAAAAAUGAAAAUGAGAGGGGUUUAAGUGCUAUUGUGACAUGAGUGGGGUCUAUAGGGGUGAGGGCUUGGGUUGGGGCUCUCAUUUCUCAACCCUAACCCUAAAACCUUUCCCUCUCUCUCUCUAAAAAUCCUCUUUCUCUUUCUCAUUCUCUCUAGAUCUUGAGCAAAGGGAGGAGUUUUGGAGGAGAAGGCUUGGAGAAGAAGCUUCCCUAAGUGGUGGCAAGCUUGUGCAUGAGCUUUUGGAGGAAAGCUUUGAACCCUUGGUGAGUUUUUGAGGAUUUCUAGGGUUUUCAAGUAAAGGCUUUGGUUUAAUUCCUUCUAGUAUGCUUCUAGGAGAUGAAUUAGAGGAUUUCCCCCAUGGUAUCCAUGUUAGGGGCUAGUUUUGGGGAAGAUGAUAUUGUGUAGGGACCUAACUUUAGGGUUUUGGAAUUAUGAGGUCGAAGCUUGGGUUUGAUCUCAUUUUAACCUAAUUGGUAGGUCAACGAACGCGUUGGUGUAUUCGGUUCGGUGAUACGACGAGUGUGCGCGAAGAUAUCAAAGAAAAAGGCUAAGUUGGUACAGAUCAUCGCAACUCGCGGCGUAGAAGUCUAGAAAUUGUGGAAAAUUGGAUUUCGGCAUCCUUGUAUCACUGAAAGGUAGGGAAUGCUGUUCGAAAACACCGGAUCUCUUUAUAUGUCUAUGUCACUUUAUUUGAGCAUAUUGAUAUUGGUUGAAAUGCAUUUAGAUGCUAAAAGAAUAUGUGAAAUGAUAAUGACCCAAGUGAACUAUGUAUGAAACGAACCCUAUGUGCAUGUGAAUGUGUAAGAGACUAUGACAAUAGUAAACAAAGGUGACAUUGACUAUAGUGACUCAAUUGGCAUCGAAAAGUGAGUAGUUAAACGAGAUUUAACCCAAAGUGACAUUAUGAGUAGUGUGGCAUCAGGACUAUUGUGACUCAGAUUUGGUGGUAUAUAUGAUAUGGUAGAACCUAUCAUUGGCAUUGAGAUAUUGUGGCAUGAGACAGGUUUGGCUAUAUGUCACGCCCCGCGACCGCCCGCCUAUUUGGCCGGGUCGCGGCGACGCAACAAACCGCUGAACGGACAGGGUGUAAUAUACUAAAAACUUCGGUAAAUAAAUGUCGAACUUUAGUCAAAAUGACCAAAGUGCGAGGAUGGAAUACUUUGGAAAGUCCAAAGGUGUUUAAAUGGUCAAAGGUGCAAUGCGGAAGGUUUUCGAGAGCUAAAGAGCAUGAAAUCUGCAUUCUGCAGGUUUUUAGCUCUCGGGGACCGGUCCCUGAUGGAGAGACCGGUCCCCGAACGCGUGCAGAAUGAGACAGCCGAAAAAUCGGCUAAGUCCUGGAAGGACAGCUCUCGGGAACCGGUCCCUGCGGGGAGAGACCGGUCCCCGAGAGACCGGUCCCUCAGGAGAGACCGGUUGCAUCCUGCGAGAGCCCUGCUGACCCGCAUGGAGAGCUCUCGGGGACCGGUCCCUUGUCUGGGAGACCGGUCCCUGCCUGCGAAAACUGCCCAGUCCAGGCAGUUGAAAUACAUGAAAGGUGAGGGGUUUAAUAGCAAUUGUGCAACCCAAUGGUUAUGUGUGGGGGCUGAGAGAGCCUUUCUCUCAUUCUCUCCCUCACACACACUCUCUUCUCUCCCUCUCUCUCUAGAAGGCAAAGGAGAAGAAGAAGAAAGAAAGAAAGGAAGGAAAAGAAGGAAAAGAAGGUGAAAAAGAAAAUCAAGAGGUGAAGCAACUUCAUCUUCUUCCUCUCUAGCUUGGAAAAGGAGAGCUUACAAGGUGAGCUUUGAACCCUAUUGUAGUAAAACCCUAAAAUGGGCUUUGAAUAAACCUAGAAAUGGUUUUAAUGGAUUAUUUAGAGUCUUUGAAGCUAUCUUUUUGCUUCUUUAGAGAUCAAAACCAUGGUUUAGCUUGAGGUGAGCUUUGGCCACCUCUAAUGGUGAAAUCCAAACUAGGGUUUGGAAUGAGUUAGGAAUGGUUCUAAUGGACUCUUUAGAGUAUAUUGAAGCUACUUUUGCUUCCUAAUGAGAUCAAACCCUAGGUUUUGUAUAUAUAUUAGAGCUAGGGCACCAAAUUGGGGCUUUUGCUCAUGAGGGUUUCUAAAUGAAAUUGACCCUCAAAAAACCUAAUUGGGGACCCAACGAACACGUUGGUGCGCUCGGUUGGAGUAUACGAAAAGACAAUACAAAGUUAUGUGCAAAAUGGCCUAAUAGGGCUUUAUUUUGCCGCAGGUAAAAAACGAAGGACCUAAAAAUCCCAAGUAAAUUAUCGGAGCACCUUUGAAAGCCUACGAGGUGGGUGGUGCUUCUCAAACUUAUUGAACUUCUCUCUAUGCCUAAUGUGUCAUUCAUUUGAGCAUGUGUAUAUAUAUUAUUGCAUGCAUUUUAGGGUAAAGUGAUGAUGAAAAUGCGAUGAUGCAUGAUUGUGAGUACAACUUGCAUAAUAUGAUGAAUGAGAACUAUGUGAACGUCAAAAACCCUAUGUGUAUGCACGAGAGAAAAGUGAGCACCCAAAGUGAGCAAAAGUACAGAGUAACACAAUGACAUAGAUCGAGUGGCAUUCGAUAAAGUUAAAGUGAAAUGACACUAGAGAUAGUGUGAGGUAAAGAACCAAUGUAAUGUAAAGAAUGAUGAAAAUGACAAUGUUUAAAGUUAAAGUAAUGUGGGGAGUAAAGAACAUGAAGUGCUAGAGGUAGCCAAAAGUAAAGAAUGUAAAGAAUAUAAUUGCUAGAGUUAGCAAGAGUAAUGAAUGGUAAAGAACAAUGAUUGCUAGAGUGGCAACAAAAAGUGAUGAAAGAACACUAGAGCUAGUGUAAAGUCAAGAUUGAACUUAUAAAUCCUUUGAGUUAAGGAUAUGAUCAUACUUGCUAUGAGUUCCGUGCUCGAGGGCGGUCGCUCCCCCUCGGGCGAUGCGCUCCGGAGUUAUGCAUCACGGGUUGGAGUAAACCCGAAGGACGGUCCUAGCGGGUGAGUUCCUGCGAUGAUGGACUUAAUGUGAAGCAAGUCAAUGUGGCGAUACCCCCGGGUUAGCCUUGAGAUUAAAGAACAAAGUGCAAAGAACAAAGAACAAAGAACAGAGAACAAAGAAUUUGCGUAAUCUGCAUUUAUUUAAUGUUGAGCAUAUUCUGCUUAUUGUUCAGGCAUAUUAGCAUCAUGUAUAGUUCGGUUACUGUUUACAGCCUAUUCUUUCUAUUAUGCCUGAGUUAGUCCUAGUGGGAAAGUCGGUGAGAUUGAGGCCGAACCCACUGGGAACUUUGUUGUAGUUCUCACCCCACUAUUCCAUAGAGCCGGGACCCAGCGAGCCGGCGAGCGACCGCGGUAAAGGUAUCGCACCCUAGUCAGAGGCCACCAGAGUUGGUUUACAUUUUGCUAGUAGAGUUUCCCUAUGUUCAUCUUUUGUACUUGAUGAGAAAUAAUGUAAAGAAAAGAAUGUAAAGUUUCAUUAUGAGCAAAUGUGAUGUAAAAAGAAAUGAUGCGAUGAUGUAAUAGAAUGCAAAGCUUUGAUGAAUGUAACAGAUUAAAGCAAUGGAUAUGAUAAAAAAUGAAUCAUGUACUAGUUGAAUGUUUAGUUUCCUUUCUUUCUCACAUGGCUAUUGCUUACCCUCGUGUAAGUCGUUUGUGUAUAUUUCCGCUAGUGCUUUUCUCUAUUGAUGAAAAUGUACAUGUGAUGAGGCUUGGGCGGAUAGGAAAAACUCUGUCCGUUCGGUGUCUGUUUGACGUUCUCGGGUCGGGCCAAAUUAAUAUCGGUCCCGGGGCGUGACACAGGGUUUCCCCUGUACCGCGGACAGAGUCUCCCCUGUACAUUCAAGGCGUCGCUAUCAAUACAAUGUACAAAGUUCCAACCAGGAACACAUUUCAAUCAAAGAUUGCAUAAUGGAAGGUAUCAAACAACAUAACACAUCCUAUGUUAUUACAUGCAUUCACAUUCAUAUAUUUUUACAUCACAAUUCUCAUAUUACAUUUACACUAGCUUUCACUUAACUUCCAAAUACAAUGCGAUUUAACAUGAUUAUUACAACUUGAUUCUUUUCAUUCUUUACAUCCCUAAGUAAAGGCCAACUCAGGGUACCGCUAUCUCUGGUCUCGGUGGUAGGGCGUUAUCUAUGAUGCUACGCCCUCACCUUGCGCCGCCACGCCGCUCACUAACGUGGGGUGAGAACCAACUCCAUGGUUCCCAGUGGGUACGGCCACCCAAGGGAAAAGCUCGACCAAUAGGUCCAAGGGAGGCAACUGCAAGUUAGUUCAAUAAACAGAUAGAUAUAUAUCUUUAUUAUGCAACUAAUAAAACCAUGCCUUGCCUCACGAAUGCAAUAAUGCCAUGCUAUAUGCGAAUCAUGCAACUAUACAAGUAGAAUAUUAUUUAACUUUCUAUCAUGCAUUCAUAGCUUUUCAUAAUUAUACAUCUUGAUCAUUUCAUCGUUGGUUAUUUGACUUCUAAGGUUUUUCCUUACGUAUGCCAAGCUAAGCACCGACUCACGGUCUCGAUGUCAAUAAUGCGAAAUACCGGCCACAUACCAGAGCUGAGGUAUAUGGGUUAUACAAACCUGCCCCAAAUCCACUCGACAGGGUAAUCAAUCUAUAGCUAUAACGUUGCUGUAAUUCACUUGGGUUUUACCAAUUGCUCGAGGUUCACUAGUUCCGUCGAACUACAACCAAAUUCCCGUCAAAGCAGGGGCCCUCGAACAUCUAGGGACCGUCUCAGGGACCUCACUUCCCUGUGGUGUCGAUUUGCCGGAAAACACGCUUGAGGAGGAACGCCGCUAAGCGAAGACAAUUCAUGUGGCUAUAUUCCAUUUUCAUUUGGGUCAGUGAAUAUUAGCAUAAGCAAAAUGCCACAAAUGCCAAUCUAAUAGGUUUUUAUAUUUACUCAUGCCCGACUCUCAUAGUAUUUCUUGUCUCAUGCACUCUUGUUAAACUAUGGUUUAAAACUAUUUCUCUAUGCCAUCAAUGUCUCUAUUAUCCAUUGUCACCUUUGUUCGUAAUGUUCCCAAGUCAAUCUCACAUUAACAAUAAUAGGCGCCUAACAUACAUGUCCUUAUGUUUUAUUUUUCUAUGUUCAUUCGUUAGAAAUGUUCAUUGAAAUGAACGAGUUCACUUUACUUAGCUUAUCAUGGCAUGAAUGGUAAAAUAUAUAUUGCUCAAAUUGUCAAAAGUGUUUUGCUAGUCAUGACACUAGGUUACACUAUAUUGUUGAACUAUGUUCAGAUACUAGUUUCAUUAUCAUGUUUAACCUUAUGGUCUGAGCUCUAGGUUUAUGCACUCGAGUUAAUGUAUAUAGUGUCAUAUGCCACUUCAUUCUUAACAUUACUCAUGCUUGCUUUAUUUUUCCUAUAUGCUUAUCAUACAUUAGUUUAGCAUUAUCCACAUGCAUGCUUCAAAAUGUAUUAUUGUCUUUAGCAUUAUCUUAUAUGUUUAAAUUCAUAUCCUUUAUCUUACGCAUAUCAAAAAUUAUCAAUGAUUAUAUCUUAGUUCUAUAAUGUUAACAUACUUCUUUUCAUUUUACUUGAUGUCAUUGAUUCCUUUAGAUUUCAAUUAUAUUCAAUGUAUCAAUAUGAAUCUCAUUUCUCUAGGGAAAUCGGGGACAUAGCACUUCAGUAAUGCAAUAUUCAGCCUCAUUGCGCAUUAUCGAUUGAUUGUGCAUUUGAUCAGCUCCCGCGGCACCGGAGCCGGUUUGGCCUGAUUCUCGUCGCGCGACACGAAAUGCCUCAAUGAUGAUUGGAAAUUAAAGUCUUCGCUUAUGUGCCACGAUAUUCAAAUCAUUUUCAUGAUAUUUGACGAUAUCAUCGGUCUCAGCUGCGAAAACAGCGUAAAUUCAUUUUUUAAUAACUUUCAAUUGGCUCGAGAAUCGCCGAACGAUUCGCCAACGGCGUUCGUUACUUAGAAAUUAGAGUUUACAUAGCGGUCAAAGUAAUCUUAACAUAUAUUUUACAAAACCCAUUCGGAGCCCUAACUGCGAGUUACACUUAAUAAAUCAAAUUAAAUUAAGGUGAGAGUAUGUUUAGCCAGUUAGUAUACUAUCUAGAAUAUUCAGAAGGAUUUUAAGACAAAUCUAAAUUUGCCAAACCCGAGGUGACGCCGCCGACAAACCGCGUCACGGGAAGCCAGAUGAAGACUCGAUCCGUCGCAUCAACGCACGUUCGCAAGCAUCUUUCCAACCUGCAAUUUUAGAGAGAGAGUUAGAGAGAUGAUGAGGAUAGUCUAGGAGAGGUAGAGGUGUUUCUCUUUCUCUAUCUCAUGAAGUGGUGUAUGUUUGCUCGCCCCCUGGGUAGUGCGCGGUAAGCGUAGGGAAGAAGAGCACAUUGUUCUUUAACAUUACACCCAAACACUUUCAUUCAGGAGUUUUAUUUGCGUUCGAAGUUUGGAGCCUUUCUGAUAGUCGUUGAGCUCAAAUUUGACAGGGCUCAGUUUGAAGUACUGAAGAUAAGAAUAUAUUUAAGUUGUCAGUUUCGACAUAAUUUGGUCAAGAAAACUGGUGAUCCCGAACGUUAAAUCUAUUAAGUAAUACUCGGAUUUUAUUUCUCACUCUACGGUAAGUCAGGAAACAAUAUGAAACUUUAAACUUAGCCCUCAUUAUCAAAUAUUUCUGAUUAUUUCCAAUUUCUUAAUUUUUGAGACAUGUGCAUUUUUGAAAUUUUCCGCCCCAUCGUUCCAACAGAAAAUUCUGAUCUUUGUUUUCAUUCCGAUUUCGAAGUCAUUUCUGAUUAUGUUUUAUUUUAUAAAUCAUAAAUAGAAUCUUAACAUUAUUUUAUUUAUUAUUUUUAUACCAAAAUCUGGUUAUGUUACAUUUCUCAACCUUAAGGUAUUUCGUACCGCAAUCAAACCACGUUCAAUCCAGUUCUGCCGGCAAUGGAGGCGUACACUUUGUUCUCCUCAGAAGCGGUUACAACUAUCGUUGUCUCGACAGAAGCGAGCUGAUACUGAAAGACGUGUUUAAUCUAAACUUUAUUGCAAGUGUGAUACAAAGUGACAAACGGGGUAUACGCAGUAAUAAAGUCGCGCGCAAGUGAGUACUCGACGAUUCUCACGCGAUCGAAACAACAUCUGCAUUCGGCUGCACAAGGGAACUUCUUCUGUUUGCACUUCUUCUUUCGGAAUCAUUAUGAUUCGUACAGUACAUUGUUAGAGCAUAAUACGAUGCAAUAUUUAUCUUAUGAGUGCGUUAAUUUGCACUGACCCCUUAAAACUUCUACGCGAGAUUGGACAGCACUUCGCAAUUUAAGAUCUCCAGUUCGUUUCUCGAGCAAGUUCCAAAUAUCAGGUGGCUUCCUAGAAUUGAUGUCUCACAAGGAGUACUUCAUCAUCUGAUACCACAUGCCACGAUCAACAUCAAACUAUUUUCGCAACGAGAUCACGCGAGCACUCCGUUCGUGAAUUCGAGUCAAACUCCUCGAUAAGGCUAUCUGCCAAAUCGCUCUCGUCGGUCUCCAUAGGUGGACCAAAGGCCACCAAUCCUACGUAGGCCUACCGUCUAAACUUGUCUCAACACGCAGCGUCUCUCGCUCGCAAAUGCAGACCCAAUCAUCAUCGGGCGAAAUUCUCACUUGGGAAUUCGCACACACUCCAACCAGGAGCAACUAAGAUCCCAAACCACGUCAAGUACUCGGGUUGGGUCACAACCAUACUCGGUGUAUCAUCGGUCACACAAUCUAUCGCGUGGCAUUCCAUGCUCCCGGGCAUAAACUCGGACUACCGUCCUGACCAGAACUACGCCCUACACGUAGGUACCGGGCCGCUGUCACUCACAGCUGACUGCGCCUGCCCAAAGGGCCCAUGCUCCACAGUCCACAAAUGGUCCAGGCACGGGUUGUCCCCAAGCACUACCCGCCGUUGUCGUCCUACACGACAUGCUCUACCGAGUCACACGUAUCACUACCGGCUACUAGGCAUCUAAUGUGAGUCACUAGUCCCACGAAUGAUCCAUGGCAUGCUUCACACCUAGCAAUGCUUAAGUGCUACUGCCAAUACACUCUCUCGGCUGAAUCCACAUCCGCACUCUAUGGGUAUCUACACUCAAGCGCUCUACGCCUCUAUAGCGUUCCACACUAAGUCCAACAUUAGGCAAUCUUGCCUAUGCACACCGGCCGCACGAGCACAACCGCCUACCUCUUCUUAAGGUACCACUAGGCCCACAUGCUCAAACUUGGCCACUAAUCGAUUGUUCUCUCAACAAUGAUGUUACUUUCACUGUUCAAUCUACCGGAAUGACAUCCGAAAUUUUCGGGCCACUCGGGUGUUCUCAUAAGCAUCAUGGCUCAACUCUCGCAAUUUACAACUCAUAUUGCUCUGAGAGUCGUUUCGCCACUUCUAUCUCUACCGCGAGUCUCACUUCUCGCCAUAGAUUACUUCUAGCACUUCGCUAGUGCCAUCUGGCUCUAUACCUGUAUUGGCAGGUACUACGCCCUUACAACACGAGCAUGCCCGGGUAUCUAUACUUACCCGUCCACUCGAUCUCUACUAUGCGCAUGCAUGAUAAUAGUAAUUAACCACAUAACCAUUGCAUGCAAUGCAUCAACUUCAGAUCAUGCAAAACAUAUGCUUGCACCAAUAACUCAUACCUGCAACGACGUCGUCAGCAGCAGGUUCCUCAACCAGGGUCGCGUAUCUACGACCACCCAGCGUUCGCCGCGAACCCUUAGGUUGCAUUGUCCUCAACGCCCUCUCGUAGCUCACACCGCUGUGGGGGAGAGGGAUAGGGCAUAUAACAUGUUGCAAUAUUUGCAAAUAGGCCCUCCCACUUUCUAUCCAGUGCACUGCCCAAACUGGGCAAUUUUCNNNNNNNNNNNNNNNNNNNNNNNNNGUCGCGGCGAUGCAACAAACCGCCUGAACGGACAGUGGGUAAUAUACUGAACACUUCGGUAAAUAUAAUUCGAACUUUAGUCAAAAUUGGACCAAGUGCGAAGUGAAUACUUUGGAAUAGUCCAAGGUGUAAAUGGGUCAAAGGUGCAAUGCGGAAGGUUUCGAAGCUUAAGAGCAUGAAAUCGGGCAUUCUGCAGGUUUUUAGCCCUCGGGGACCGGUCCCUGUAUGGAGGGGAGACGUCCCCGAACACGUGAAAAAAUGAGAAUGGAAAACUGGCUAGAGAUCCUGAGAAACAGCUCUCGGAACCGGUCCCUGCGGGGAGAACGGUCCCCGAAGAGGCGGUCCUCAGGACGAGACCAGGUUGAUCUGCGAACCCUGCUUUGACCCGCAUGGAGGGAGUCUCGCGGACCGGUCCGUUGUCUGGGAGACCGGUCCCUGCCUGCCGAAACUGGGCCCAGUCCAGGGACAAUGACAGAGUAAAAGUGAGGGGUUUAUUUGGCAUUUUGACAUGUUAUGUUGAGCGGUGAGAGAGUGUCACGCCCAAUCCCAGCCAAUUUGGUCAAGGUUGGGUCGUAACAGACGCGAACGGACAGAGCUCCCCUGUCGCCCAAGGCUCUAAAACACAUAUAAUUAGCAAUUAACAAGGAAUUGCGAUAGUAUAAUUAAGGUUACUCGAUGGCAGAACAAUCGGAAGCGAAAGCGCUAAGCUAAAUAUACAAACACCACGUGCAUAUUUGAUUUUCUUUUUGAACAAUUCAAGUAUAGUAAUAAUAUUACAUUGCCAUUUCAAACCACAGAUCUUUUACAUUUAGUAUCACCACAUUACAUGAUUGUUUUCACUUUAUACCUAAAUCAACAAAAGUAAAGUUAGAUACAAUGUAUAACAAGAAGGGAAAUGGGACGUUACAAAUGGCAUAAGUCCCCGAGUGGGGCCGUACUACGCGCCAAACCCUUGCACUCGGUGCCUCCGCCGCCCCUGCUCGUGCUAGGACCUGUAGGGUUAGUGGUGUGAGAACUACAACGACAGUUCCCGUGGCUGGCAUCCGACCUCGGCCGACUACCACUAGGUCUAUCCAGGAUAAGUAUUUCAAGGAAGAAAGCUAGCCAUUACUAUGCAACUGAAUAUAUGCGCUGCCAAGAAAAGUCAGUAUAUAUACAAUUUCAAUGCGAAAAUGAAUGCAUGCAUGCUCCAAUCAUAUUCAACUUUGCUCUAUACCCAAUCUUACCGGGUUACUCUCUUUAACCCAUAACUCACAACAAAAUCCACUUAUAACGGGGGACUCGUAACCUCCCUAGGGACCUGUCACUGGUGGGCUUUACACGCCCAGUGUGCCACUCCGUGGGCACGCUGCGAGGAGGGUAGCGACCCUCCCUCAAGCCAAGACGAAUUGAGUAUCGAUCUAAUCCUCAAAACUGAGAGACUCAUAGCCAGUAGUCACAAUGCAAUGUCAGUGGUUCUCUACCAUUCACUCUGCACUCUCAGCUUUAACCUUCGACGAUGUCAACAUGCCGGGUUAAACUAUAUUCAAUGUGUUCAUCUCUCAAUGGCAAUUCUUGUUUCAAUAUGUCAAUGACACCCUUGUUUUCUAGGGUGUACCAGUCCAUUCUCACAUGUCACACACGAAUUAGGCUGUCAAUCCACAUGUUUUUUUGGUUAAUCUUCUCUUGUCAACUACGUUGUGAAGCGUACAAAAAUGAGAGUCAAUACCAAGUUCCACAUGAAGCUACCCUACUAUGCAUAAAUGGUUAUAUGAUAUAUCUCAAGAAAUAGAGAAACAGACAUAGAAGGAAUCCACGCUUCCGGCGUUGCACCCCCACUAUUGGUUGUGUGGGUCGGGUGCUGGUAUUAUUAGAAAGCUCCCUGUCACUUACGAAAGCCGUUCGCGCCCUAUAUCACAUAAGUGCCCGAUAUUAGGCCUUUUUGUACAUGAAUAUGUUCUAAACAUUUUCGAACGUUAAGAAGUGUCCCACGCGCUUAGGACCCCCCAAUUUUUAGGUUUCCCGGGGGCAAUUGCCCAAAAAUCCUACGGCCAAAAAGCCCCAAAUUCAAGCUCCUAAUAUUGGUCAUUUAGGGGUUUUCCCAGGAAUCCGUAUCCCAAUCCUAAGCAAAGCAAUAAGCAUGGAGAUAUAGAAGCACUUCUUAGUGAGGUUUCUAGACCUUUGGUUACAAACCCUAGGGUCCAACAUCACUUCAAGGAAAUUACCAUGAAGCACAAUUGAAGCUCUAUGGAGUUCCAUAAGGUAAUUCAUGGCCUCAAAAAGAGCUAUCUGAAUACCUCUAAGGAGCACAGAAAGCUCCAAUUCCGUUAAGAUAUAAAACCAAACCAUAGAGGAAAGCAAUCACACAAAACUUUACCCUCUAGUCAAAAAGCUCACAAGAUUCUCCUUGUUGGAGAGCUCCUAGAACCUCCAAGCCUCCAAAUCCUCCUCUCUUCUCUUCUUCUUCUUUUCUCCAGUCUAGAGCAUGGGUUCUAGAGAGAGAGAAGAGGGAAACAUGGUGGUUGAGGAGGUGGAAAAUGGCUGUGGAAGAGACAGGGAUGGGCACAUAUAGGUGUUGUAACAAUUGCCACUAAGCCCCUCCACUUGUUUCCAUCAAUCUGCCCAGACUGGCAAUUUUCGCCUUCGGGGACCGGUUCCCCGACCGGGACCAGGUUCCGAACGGGCGGGUUUUCCAGGAUUAGCCAAAUUUUGAGUUUUUCGGCUGUUGCGCAGCGCGGACGGUCUGCCCGUCAGGACGUUCUCCGGAGGACCGGUCUCCACCACCAGCGGACCGGAUGCUCAGGAUUUCUAGCAGCUGACGGUACGGGGACCGGUCUGCUCCUUCAUGGAACGGUCCCCGAGAGUUCAAAAUCUGGGACUUAGCCAGAUUUCCGAUUUGCUCUUUCCGGGUCCCUUUUUGGCUCAUGUUAUGAACUCCAUGCAACUUAGGUGCCACUGAACUGUCAUUCCGCGUUCGCUCGUUUGACGGGAACUCGGCACGAUUUACGUAGGGAUGUGGUAUUAUACAGAGAGUCUUUCUCUUAUUUCUCCCUCACACACACUCUCUUCUCUCCCUCUCUCAUGUAUAGAAGGCAAAGUGAGAAGGAAGAAGAAAGAAAGAAAGGAGAAAAAGAACGGAAAGAAGGUGAAAAAGAAGAUCAAGAGGUGAAGAGUCUGUUUCUUCUCUCCUCUCUAGCUUGAAAAAGAGAAGGCUUACAAGGUAGAGCUUUGAACUUAUGCUAGGAAAACCCUAAAAUGGGUUGGAAUAAACCUAGAAUGGUUUUAUGGCUUAUUUUUAGAGUCUCUUGAAGCUUUCUUUUUGCUUCUAUUAGCAGAUCAACAUAGUUUAGCUUUGAGGUGGCUUUUGGCCACUUUAUGGGUGAAAUCCAAAACUAGGGGUGGAAUGAGUUAGAAUGGUUCUAAUGGACUCUUUAGAAGUCAUUAUGAAAGUACUUUUGUUCCUAAAUGAGAUCAAACCUAGGUUUUGUUAUGUAUUAGAGGCUAGGGCUCACCAAAUUAGGGCUUUUGUUCAUUGAGGGUUUCUAAAUGAAUGACCCUCAAAAAACAAUGGGGCGACCGAACGCCUUGGUGCGCCGGUGAAGUAUACGAAAAGACAAUACAAGAGUAUUGCAAAAUGGCUAAUAGGGCUUGUUUUGCCGCAGGUAAAGAACGAAAGGAUCCUAAAAAUCCAAGUAAAUUAUCGCGAGCACCUUUUGAAGCCCUACGGGUGGGGGUUCUUCUCAAACUUAUUGAAUUCUCUCUUAUGACUAAUGUGUCAUUCAAUUUGGAUGAAAUAUAUAUAUUAUGCAUGCAUUUUAGGUAAAGUUUUAUGAUGAAAAUGCGAUAAUGCAUGAUUGUGAGUACACUUGCAUAGAUAGUAUUUUUUGAAUUUCGAGAACUACUGUGAACGUCAAAAACUUUGUAUGCAUGACGAAAAAGUGAGCACCCAAAUGUGAGCAAAAGUACUGUGACCAUGACAUAGAUCAGAGUGGCAUUCGAUAGAAGUUAAAGUAAAGAUGAAAUGAAUGAUAUAGGGAGGUAAAGAAUCAAUGUAAUGUAAAGGAAUGAUGAAUAAUGACAAUGUUUAAAGUUAAAGUAAUGUGGGGGUAAAGAAACAUGAUAAGUGCUAAGUACCAAAAGUAAAGAAUGUAAGAAUAUGAUUGCUGAGUUAGCAAGAGUAAGAAAUGAAAAGAAUAAGGAAAUGCUAGAGAUAGCAAAGUAAAGAAUUGUAAAGAAUGUGUUUACAGAGUGAAAAAAAGUGAUGAAAGAACACUAGAGUAGUAUAAGUCAGAUUGAAUAGUAUAAAUCUUGAGUUAAGGUAUGAUCAUACUUUGUAUGAGUUCCUUUGCUCGAGGAGUGGUCGCUCCCCUCGGGCGAUGCGCUCCGGAGUAUGCAUCCAGGGUUGGAGUAAACCUGAAGGAUGGUCCUAGCAGGUUGAGUUCUGCCAUGAUGGACUUAAUGUGAAGCAAGGUCUGUGGCGAUACCCCGGGGUUAGCCUUGAGACUUAAGACAAGACGGUUAAGAACAAUGCUGCAAAGAACAAAGAACAAAGAACAAAGAAUUUGCGGUACUGCAUUUAUUUAAAUGUGAGCAUAUUCUGCUUUUGUUCAGGCAUAUUAGAUCAUGUUAUAGCGUUCGGGUACUGUUCAGCAUUUCUUUCUUUAUGGCCUGAGUUAGUUCCUAGUGGAAAGUCGGUGAGAUGAGGCCGAACCACUGGAACUUUGUUGUGUUUCACCCCCGUUCACAGAAGCCGCGACAGCGAGCGGCCGAUGCGGGCCGCCGGUAAAGCGUAUCGACCCCUAGUCAGAGGCACCAGAGUUGGUUUUACAUUGUUGCCUAGUAGAGUUUCCUAUGUUCAUCUUUUGUACUUGACUGAUAAAUAAUGUAAGCAAAAGAAUGGUAAAGUUUCAUUAUGAGCAAAUGUGAUUGUAAAAAGAAAUGAUGGAUGAUGUAAUAGAAAUGCCAAAGCUUGUUGAUGAAGUAACAGGAUUAAAGCAAUGGGGAAUUUAUUUUGAAUAAAAAAAAAAAAUGAAUCAUGUCUAGUGAAUGUUUAGUUCCUUUCUUUCUCACAUGGCUAUUGCUUACCCUGUGUAAGUCGUUUGGUGGUUAUUAUUUCGCUAGUGCUGUUUCUCUAUUGAUGAAAUGCUAAUGUGGAUGAGCCUUUGGGGGAUAGCGGAAACUCUGUCGUUCAAGGCACAAAUGUCUGUUUGACGUGCUCGGGUCGGGCCAAAUUGAUAUCGGUCCCGGGGCGUGACACAGAGUUUUUUCCUGUACGCGGACAGAGUUUCUCCCUGUAGAUUCAACGGCGUCGCAAUCAGAUAAAUAUUACAAAGUUCAACCAUGAACCAUUUCAAUCAAAGAUUGCUAAUGAAAGUAUCAAACCAACAUAACCAUCGUAUGUUAUUAAUGAAUUCAUUCAUUAUAUUUUGGACAUCACAAUUUCAUAUAUACAUUACACUAGCUUUCAACUUACUUCAAUACAUGCGAUUUACAUGAGAUUAUUACAAUUGAUUCUUUUCAUUCUUGUAAUCCCUAAGUAGGCCAACUCAGGGUACCGCUAUCUCUGGUUCGAUGGUAGGGCGCUAUCUAUGUGCUACGCCGCUCAACCUCGCGCGCCAACGCCGCUCACGUGUGAACUGUAACACCCCAAAAACAACGUGGGUGAGAACAAAAUCCAUGGUAUCCCAGUGGGUACGCGCACCAAGGGAAAGCUCGACCAAUAAGGUCCAAGGGAGGCAAUGCAAGUUAUUCAAUAAACAAUUAGAAUAUAUAUCUGUAUUAUGCCAACUAAUAAAACCAGCCUUGCUCGACGAAUGCAAUAAUGCCAUGUAUUAUACGAAUAUGCAACUAUCAAGUAGAAUAAAUGAUUUAACUUUCUAUCAUUCCUAUUCUUAGCUUUUCAUAAAUUUAUAUAUCUUGUCAUUUACAUCGUUGGUUAUUCUUCUAAGGUUUUCCUCUACUAGGGCCAGCUAACACCCGACUCGAGCUCCUCAAGUCAAUCAACUGCGGUAAUACCGCACCAAUACACAGGCUCGAGGGUAAAUGGACGUCUCACAUACACCUCAGCCCAAAUCACUCGCAGGAUACUAAUCUAUAGCUCAUAACGCUUUGCUGUAAUUACUGGGCUUUUACCAAUUGAUCGAGGCUUCACCCAGUUCUCCCUCGAACUCACCAACCAAAAAUCCCGUAAAGCAGGGGGUCGAACCACCCCUAUGGAACCGUUUCAGCGGUACCGUCACUCCCUGUGGUGUCGAUUUCCGGAAACACACCUGAGUGGGAGCGACGCCCCAAGUCAAGAUCUUCAAUGUGGAGUAUGAUCAAUUUUCCAAUUUGAAGGAUGUAUAGCCAUAGCCACAUGCACAAAUGCCACAUCAUAAUAGGUUUUCUACCUAUUUAUUCAUGCUUUGUUUCCUGUCUUAUGGUCAUUCUGUCUCAAUGCCACUCUUGUUAAACUAUGUUUUACGACUAUGUUUCUAUUGCCAAUUCAAUGUCUUAUUAUCAGUCACCUUUGUUCACUAAUGUUCAAAGGCAACUCUCACAUUCAACAAUUAAUAGGGCCUAACAUACAUGUCAUUAUGUUUCUACCUUUCUCUACUGUUCAACUUCGUGAGAAAACAUGUCAUUGAAAGCAACAGGUUCACAUGUACGUUCAGCUUAUAAUGAAUGGCCUACAAAAUUAUAUAUGCUCAAAAUGCCAGCAAGUGUUUUUUGAGGUUCAUGACACGUAGUGUUCACACUAUACUUGUUCAACCUUAUGUCAAGACACUAGGUUCAUAUAUCCAUGUUUAACUAUGUCCAUGACUCUUCGGUUUAUGUGCACUCGAUCUAAUGUAUUAGAUUGCAUAUUCACACUUCAUUUUCUUAAACAUUAGACCCAUGCUGCAUUUAUUAUUUCUAUAUUCAUGCUUAUAUACAAUUACUUAGCAUUAUCCACUAUGCAGUGCUUACAAAUGUCAUUAUGCAUUCCUUUAAGCAUUUCUUAUUAAUUUAACAUCCAUGAUGCCCUUUAUUUACGCACUUCAAACAUUAAUCACAUUGAAUUUGUAUCUAGACAUUUUAAUAUGUUAACAUUACUUCUUCACAUUUGCUUACAUUAUGUCAAUAUGCCAUUCCUUGUAGCAUUUUCAAUUAGUAUGUCAAUCAUGCAUCAGUAUUGAAUCUCAUUUGCUUAGACAAUACAGGCGACCUAGUCACUUCGAGUAGCACAACUCACCUCGAUUUUGCAUUCCGAUGGUUCUGUCGACACUUGCCAAUUCGGCCUCCGCUGGCAUCGCCACCCGGUUUGGCCUGAUCUCCUCGCGCGCCCCCUGAACGGCCUCCAAUCCAUGAUCUGGAAAUAUAAAGGUCUUCGGUUAUGCUGCACGAUACUUCAAAUCCAUUUUCAUGAAUUUACGAUAUCACCUCGGCUCAUCCAGGCGGAAACGAAGCUAACAUCCGCCUUUCUUUAAUAACUUUACAAUGGCUCUAACGAAAUCGCCGAACCGACUUCGCCAAAAAAACGCCGUUCGCUUACUAGAAUUAGGUUUCCAUAGGGGUCAAAAUAGAUCAAACCAUAUAUUUUUUACAAAACUCCAUCGGAGCCCUAACAUGCCAAUUUAACCUCUAAUUAAUCAAAUUAAAUAGUAGAGUAGCGCAUGUUUAGAAACACCUAGUACUAACAUAGAACAUUAUUCAGGGAAAGGAUUUAACAAAAUCCCAAAACUGCUUACAAAAAUGUGAAUUUUUUGAAAACACGCCGCGUCCAACGACGCGACGAAAGCUCGAUCCGUCGCCUCUAACGCGUUCGCAAGCUCUUCUCCACCAACCUCAAUGUUCUAGAGAGGAACUUUGAGAGAUGAGAGGAUAUCUAGAGAGAGGUAGAGGUGGUUUCUCUCUCUCGUAUACUCAUGAGUGUGAUGGAUGUGUGUGUGCAUGGGUGUGUGCGGGCUGAAGGAGGGAAGAAGAAGCAACAUUGCUUCUUAUACAUUAACCCCAAACACUAUUCACUUCAGCGUUUUUUGCAAAGUUCGGAACGUUGGAGCCUUUGAAUGUACCGUUUGAGGCCUCAAAUUUGGCAGGCUAGGCUCGGUUUUAGUAUCUGAGUAAGUUAUAUUUUAAGUUUUCAGUUUUGGACCUCAUUUGGUUCACCAAAACUGUGCGAAUGUAAUCUUUAUCAGACUACUCUCGGAUUUUAUUUUCACUCUACGGGUGUUAGAAAAAUUGAAACUUUAAAUCUAGCUUCAUAAAAAUAUUGGUCUGACUUAUUCUCCAAUUUUUAUAAUUUUUUGAGACUGUGAUUUUCUGCAAAUUUAUCUGCCCCGUUCCAACAAGAAAUUCUAGAAUGCUUCUGUUUUUCAUUCGAUUUCAGCACAAGUCAUUUCUGACUUUAUGUUUUAUUCUAUAAAUCCAAUAAAAAUAGCUCUCACAUAUUUUUAUUUUAUUUUUUUUUAUAUCAAAUCUGAGUAUGUUACAUCUACACCCCUUAAAAGAAUUUUCGUCCGCGAAUUGCAAACCACGUUCAAUCCAGUUCAGCGGAGGCAAUGAGGUACCAACUCUGUUCUCCCACUCCAGAGCAGCGUUCACACUAUCGUUUGUUCGAGAAAGCUGGCUCAUACUGAAGACGUGGGUUUAAUCCUAAAUCAUGUUUGCAAGUUGUGAUACAAACGUGCAUCACGGGUCUUGGCAAGUACAUAGUGGCCAGCGCAAGUCCGGUAACUCCGACGAUCUCUCACUGCCGUCAACACCACUCGCCAUUCGGUGCACAAAGAACUCUUCUUUGCACUUUACCGUUCCUUUCAGGAAUAAUUUUGAUUCGAAUAGCGACAUUGCUUAGGAGCAAUGAUCACCGAUGCAUCGCUUCGCAUGAGUGCUCUAAUUUGCACUGACCCUUAACUUUAACGCCGAGAUGGCCCACUUCGGCACUCAUCAAGGUUCUCAGUGUUCGCUUAGUGAGAGUAGUCGUCCAACAUCACGCUGACUUUCACUAGAUUGAUGCUCACAAGGAGUACUUCAUCAUUGAUACACAUUGCCAACGAUCAGACAUCAAACUAUUUCGAACGAGCUCUGCGAGCAAUCCGUUCGUGAAUUCGAGUCAACUCCUCGAUAAGACCUAUCUGCCGAAAUCGCUCAUCGUCGGGCUUCCAUAGGUUAGACCAAAGGCACCAAUCGCUACGUAAGGGCUACCGUCUAAAUUGUUCAACAGAUAGCGUCUCUGCGUCGCAAAUGCGUAAGACCCAACAUAAGGCGGGAAAUUCUCACUUGCGUCGAAUUACGCACACACUCCAACAGGAGCAACUAGAUCCAAAAAAAAAAAAAAAAUCCACGUCAAUGUACUCGGGUUGAUGGUCACAAACAUACUCGGUGUUAUCAUCAGUCACACAAUCAUAUCGCGUGGCAUUCACGUUCCCGGGCUAAACUCGGAUACCGUCUGACCAGAAUUACGCCCUACCCGUAGGUACCGGGCCGCUGUCACUCAACAGAGCUGACCUGCGCUCCAAAGGGCAGUGCUAUAGUCACAAAUGUCCAGGAACGGGUUAUCCCAAGCAUACCCUACGUCGUCCCACACGACAUGCUCUCGAAGUCACAGUAUCAGCUACCGGCUACUUAGGCACCUAAUGUGAGUCACUAGUCCACGAGUGAUCCAUGGCAUGCUUCACACUAGCCAAUGAUAUUCAAGUGCUACUGCCAAGACAGCUCUCGCUGCAAAUCCACAUCCGCACUCUAUGGCGUUAUGACACUCGAAGGGGGGUGCUCUACCGCCUCAUAGCGUUCCACACUAAGUCCUACAUUAGCGCAAUCUGGCUAUGCACACGCGCACAGAGCACAACCGGCCUACUCUUCUUAAGGGUACCACUAGGGCCCACGUGCUGCAAACAUGGCCACUAAUCGCAUUGUUCUAUCAACAAUGAUUGUUACUUUCACUGUUCAAUCUACGCGGAAUGACAUCGAAAUAUCGGGCCCACUCGGGUGUUCUCAUAGCAUAUUGGCUAACUCUCGCAAUUUACAACUCAUAUGUGGCUCUGAGAGUCGUUUCGCACUUCUAUUCUCUACCGGAGUCUCACUUGCUCGCCAUAGAUACUUUAGCAAUUCGCUGUGUUUGCCAUCUUGGCUCUAUACCGUGAUUGGCAGGUCACUACGCCUUACAAACACGAAGCAUGCCGGGUAUCUAUACUGACCCGGUCACCGAUCUUACUAUGCCGCAUGCUGACAAUAGUAAUUAACACAUAAACCCAUUUUGCAUGCAAUGGCAUCACUCCGAUCAUGCAAAACAUUAUGCUUGCAUCAAUAACUCAUACUUGCAACGACGUCGUCGAGCAGCCAAGGUUCCUCAACCAGCGGUCGCGUAUUCUACGACCACCAGCGUUCGCCACUGCGAACCCUAGUAGUUGCAUUGUCCUCAACGCCUCUCGUUCUCACACGCUGUGGGGGUUGAGGGAUAGGAUAUAAACAUGUUGCAUUUGCAAAUAGGCCCUCCCACUUUCUAUCCAAUGUCACUGUCAGAACCCGCCACCAACCCGCCUAUUUGGCCGGGUCGCGCGCCACGACAGACCGCCCGGAACGGACAGCAGUCUCCCCUGUACGUCUAGGCCGUCGCAAUCAAUACAAAUACAAGGAAGUUCCAACUAGGAACAGUUAUUCAAAUAAGAUUGCAUAAGGAAGGUAUCAAACAGCAUAAACACAUUUCCUAGUGUUGAUUACAAAGCAUUCCUUAGAUUUAUUUUUACAUCACAUUUGCAUUAUUACAUUACAUGUUCUUCAAAUACUGAAUCAAGGAUCACAAGAUUUAUUACAAGUUUGGCUCUUUUUUUUCUUUUCCCAUCUACCCUAGGCCUAUGCGUCGGUACUCUAUCUCUGGUUCUUGGUGGAGGCGUUAUCUAUGGAGCUACGCAUCGCCUUGCUGCCGCCGCGCCAUUGCACGGGCGAACCUGUAACACCCAACAACGUGGCGGUGAAGAACCAACUCCAUGGUUCCCGUGGCACGGGCACCCAAGGGGAAAAGGCUCGACAAUAGGUACUAAGGCAGGCCUGCCAACAUGUUAGUUCAACAGAUAUCAAAGAUUAUUAUAUUCAAGAAUUGAAUACAUGUUGUGCCUGCACAAUUAUGCAAUAUGAAAUCAUUCAGUUAUACAACCAUGCAACCAAACUAGUAGUUCAAGUCGUACUAUUUUAUCCAUGUUCAUUCACAGUUCAAUUAUAUUACUUCUAAGUUUCCCUAUCUUAGAUUCCUGGUCAUUACAGAUUCUAGUCGUAGGGUUGAACCUGCUUUUAUUAGUAUCCACUCGACUCGGUCUUGAGUCAAUUUCACACGCGGAUACCGAUACAAAGCCAAGGUCAAGGUGAAGGAUGUUCACAAUGCACUUCAGCCCUAAAUCCCACUUCAAACUGGGAUGCAACUAAAAAUCAUGUAAUGCAUCAAAUAGUAAAGGUUUACUAUAUGCUAACGAAUUCGAUCAUGUUCGAAGAAUAAUGUAUUCAAUGACAUUGUUCACUAUUCUUUACACCACUGUAUGUGAAGCCCUAGGGUUCGCCAAUAACUCACCUUUCAAUCCCAAAGUGCGGAGAGGAGCUCAAGUGCACCAAGCCGAGACCGGUGUUGCGGACCUUCCAUGUUGCGUCAGACCUCAAGUGGUCCUGUAGUUCGCGCGACACUCCGGCAACUCGCACGACAAUCCGUCCAUAUGGGGAUAUGGAUGGCCUAUACACCCCAAAAGCAGACUGGGGAGCUAGAUCGAUCCUCACCAAUGAGGAUACCUCACAACUAUGGGUCAACAACCCAAUCAAAUCAUCUCCAAGGAGUGUUAUGCUCUACAACUAGAGGUCAACGACCCAAUCAAAUCCUCUCCCAAGUGAGGUGCCUACAACUAGGGCCAACAUCUCAAUAAAUUAUCGACAACCUCUCUCAUGUGAGUACUUAGGUUUACUAAGCUUCUUUAUCCACAGGCAUUUUCACGGGAUUCACCUAUCCCUAGUUCUCAACCUCUAGUGUCAAAUACACUCAUUAAUGCCUCGAUUGUGUUUUGUUUUCCAAUGUCAAUUUCUCUAAUCGACAGUUCACCUGCAUAUUCUCUACUAUAUUCAUAAUUUGGCACAUGUUAUAAUUCUUCUAUUCAUAUAUAUGCAAUAUAUGUCAUCAUGUAUAUGUUUCUAUUUAACAUAAUCCACAAUAUGUUAAUUCACAACAUGUCAUCAUGCACAUAUAUUACUAGCAUCAUAUGAUAUGUCAACAUACAUAUAAUCAUCAUCCAAAGUAGUCUAUACUUAGCAUCUCAUGCAUUCUUUUAGCAUUUAAUUCAUUAUACAUUUCAUCUCAUUGGUAGGUAAUAUCAACUACAUAAUAUGUUUCAAGCAUUCAUAUUAUCAUGUAAGCCUACAAAUACAACUAUAUGCAUCAAUGUGAAUUCGUAUGUUUCUUAAACAUAAAGGGCGACCUAGUCGCUUCGGUAAGCACAACCCACCUCAAAUCGCUUUCCGAUUGCUUGUCGACACUUGCAAUCGGCCUCCCGCGGCACCCGGCACCCGGUUUGGCCCGAUCUCUCGCGCGACCACCCGAACGGCCUCCAAUUCACGAUCUGGAAAUUAAAGGUCUUCGGUUAUGUGCCACGAUACUUCAAAUCUGUUUUCAUGGGUUUACGAUAUCGCCUCGACCCUCCAGGCGGAAACAAAACCUAAACGUCCAUUUCUUUAAUAACUUCGUAACAGCUCGACGAAUCGCCGGACCGACUUCGCCAACGCGUUCGUUUACCUAGCAAUUAGGUUUACAUAGGGUCAAAAUAGAUCAAACCCAUAUAUUUUACAAAACCCCAUUCGGAGCCCUAACAUGCAAUUAACCUCUAAAUAAUCCAAAUUAAAUAUAGCAACAUACUAACAAUGCUCAUUAGAGGCUAUUAGAACACUUAAAGCUAAGGAUUAAGCCAAAUCCCAAAAGCUUACCACAAUGUGAACGCCGCGACGAAAACACGUCGCUCCAACGGACGCACGAAAGCUCGAUCGGUCGCCUCCAACGCGUUCGCAAGCAUCUUCUCCACCAACCCCGCGAAUUUGAGCGAGAGAUAUAGAGAAAUGAGAUAGAAAUCUAGAGAGAGAAAGGAGCUUUCUCUCUCUCUCUCACCAUGCGCACGAGAGGGUGGUGGGGUGCUGGUCGGUUGGGGAAGAAGAAGCAAUAUCUUCUUUUAAUUACACUCCAAAACACUAUUCAUUCCAGGCAGUUUUAGCAGGAAUAGUUGGAGCCCUUCUGAAUGUUCGUUUGAGCUCAAAUUUGACAGGCAGGCUUAGUUUAACGUACUGAGUAAGAAUAUAUCUUAAGUUUUCAGUUUCGACCCCGUUUGGUCACUGAAAACUGUACCGAACUGUAAUCUUUAUCAGAUAGCUGUCGGAUUUUAUUUCUCACUCCACGGGUGUCAGAAAAAUAUGAAACUUUAAAUCUAACCUUAUAAAAAUAUUUCUGACUUAUCCUCCAAUUUUCAUAAUUUUCUGAGACUGUACAUUUUCUGCUAAUUUAUCUGUCCUGUUUCCAAUAGAAAAUUCUAGAUCUUCUGUUUUCAUUCCGAUUUCAGCACAAGUCACUUCUGACUUAUGUUUUACUCCUCUAAAUCCAAUAAAAAUAUUAUCUGACACUAUUUUUAUUUAUUUUUAUUUUUAUAUUUAAAAUCCUGUAUAUUACAUUCCACCGCAACCUCACCGAAACCAUUCAAAUGGCUUUCAAACCAAAUGUACACCGUAACUUCAUAAUUUUAGAAGUCCGGUACCUUACAUCCUCCCCUCCUUAAAAGAGUUUCGUUCUCAAAACUAUCCCACUUCAAUUCCAAUUCAUACCCCAACUCAACUUAUCAAAUAGUCGAGGGUUCCAAUGCACUUUUGCAUUUCGGAGUGGCCUUUCACUCAUCGGAACUAUCCAAAGGCUCACUACGGAGGAUGUGAGACUAGAUUCAUUCACAUUUGCCACGUGCAGCUCCAAAAGUGCAUUACCACCAUGCAAAGAACUACUCUUGCAUUAUACACCCAAUCGAAAAAUUUCACUCUGAUUCGAUCACCUACAUUGCUUAGAAGCAAUAUCGUUGGUGACUCGACCAAUCGCGAGUGGUUCAUCACAACCGGAUCCUUGCUCUAUCACGAGAUGGCCCACUCCGGCACAUCUCCAAUCUCAAUCCAUAAAAGAGCAUUGUCCUCAAGCUCCAAUUCCCACAUGGCUAUCCACAUCUCAAUGUCGCACAAGAGCACUUCGCCCUCGAUAUCAUAAGCCACGACCAACUCUACUUCGCUCUUGCGACAAAUCCACACGAACCCUCCGUUCGUAAAUCUAAGCCAAGCUCACAAAUAGAGUUAUCGGCUAAACCGAUUACGUCGGUUUCCAUCGGUGGACCAACGGUCACCCGUCCUACGUAGGUUUAUCGCCUAAACCUCUCACAACUACGCAUAGCGUCCCUCGCUCACCAGCGUAGACCAAAUCAUAAUCAGGCAAAGUUCUCAUUGGAGAAUUCGCACACACUCCAAUCAGGAGCAACCGUGACCCCAAACCACCUCAAAUCCUCGAGUUGGGUCACUACACACACGGUGUAUCCUCGAUCUUAUGAUCCAAUACGUGGCAUUCCACGCUCCUGGGUCUAAGCUCGGACUACCGUCCUGACCGAAUCUCUGCCCUACCCGUAGGUACCGGGCCGCUGUCUCUCACAGCUGACUGCGCCUGCCCAAAUGGCCCAGGCUCCACAGUCCACAAAUGGUCGAGGCAUGGGUCGUCCCCAAGCACUGCCCGCCGUCGUCGUCCUACACGACAUACUCUACCGAGUCACACGUACCAAUAUCGGCUCCUAUGCACCUAGUGCGAGUCACCAGUCCCACGAGUGAUCCAUGUCACGCUUCACACCUAACAAUGCUCAAGUGCUACUGCCAAUACACUCACUCGGUGGAAUCCACAUCCGCACUCUACGGGUAUCUACACUCGAGCGCUCUACGCCUCUACAACGUUCCACACGAAGUCCAGCAUUAGGCAAUCUUGCCUAUGCACACCGGCUGCACGAGAGCAACCGCCUACCUCACCUUGAGGUACUACUAGGCCCACGUGCUCAAACUUGGCCACUAACCGACCGUUCUCUCAACAGUGAUGCUUCUUUCACUGUUCAAUCUAUCGGAAUUACAUCCGAAAUUUUCGGACUACUCGGGUGUUCUCAUAAGCAUCAUGGCUCAACUCUCGCAAUUUACUACUCAUAUUGCUCUGAGAGUCGUUUCGCCACUUCUAUCUCUACCGCGAGUCUCACUUCUCGCUAUAGAUUACUUCUAGCACUUCACUAGUGCCAUCUGGCUCUAUACCUGUACUGGCAGGUACUACGCCAUCGGAUAACACAAAACUCCAUUUCUAGAGCAAUCAAACCUAUCUCUAGAAAUCCACCAUGAGAGAGAGCUUAGAAGCUUACCUCUUCGAGAAGCUCCAACCAAGGAGAAGAUGAAGGAGAUGAGGAAGACCACCUUCUCCAUCUCUUUCUUUUCUUUUCUUUCUUCUUCCUCUUCUUAUCUUCUAGAGAGAGAAGGAGAGAUAUGAGAGGGUGUGUGGGUGAGAAAUGAGAGAAAAGAGCUCUCAUACCCCUCACAUAGCCCCACAUGUUGCAUAAGUGCAACUAAGCCCCUCAACUUUUAUCCUUGUGCACUGUAACAAACUGGACCUUUGCAAAUUGCGAGGUUCCAGUGUUUUGGGUGUGUUCUGAGCUUUUCCAGAUUUUCUGGUGGGUCGUUGACUGUGUUCCGACCUAUGGCACGUGUCCCGAGAAUUGUGGUUUAAAGCCUUGCACCAAAACCCGAAAAAACGGGAUUUGGCUGACUCUCAGAUUUCAUUCUGCCGGGCUUGUACCGGUACAGGGCUGAUGGCUGUACCGGUACAAGGUUGAUGGUUGUACCGGUACAGCCACUGGCUUGUACCGGUACAGAGCUGCUGAACCCCGCGACCAGAGCCUCGGGUUGGCAUUUUCGUGGCUCUUGCACCGGUACAAGAGCCGGUGUACCGGUAUAAGGGGACUGAUUUCGCACAGUUUGAUCUGCAGGGGUGUUUUUGCUUUUGUAGCUCUUCUAUUAGAACCCCCCCCACGCCUCUAGGGCAUUUUUCUGAGCUGAGAGCAUAGGGAGACAAGGUAAGAGAAGUCCUCCCUUGCCUCUUUGGAUUUGAUCUCCAUUUUGCAUGGUUUUUAAUGGAUUUUUUUCUUCUCUUUUGCCCUUUGGUGCCUUUUCCACCAUGGAUGAAGCUUGGAAACUUGGGUUUGGAGCUUGGUGGAGGGAAGAUCCUAGAAGUUUGUGGACUUUGAGCUUGUUUUGAAGCUUCUAAGAGGUAAGUGGCAAGAUCCUUUCCUCUAGUUUUGGAUUUUAGAGCUUUCUUUGAGAUGAAACCCUAGAUUUGGAACUUAGGGUUUAUUUUUUGGGCAUUUUCAUUCUAGGGCUUUUGAGGCUAGAUUGAUUGGUUUAGAACCUUCCUUGGGCUUGGAUUGGAAGGGUUCUAGCUCUUCUUUGGAGCUUAGGAGAGAAUUUUUACUCUUGUGGUGAGUUUUGCCCCUUUUGCUUCUAGGUUAAUGAUUGAGCUUUUUACUCUUCGUAUCGUUUGGGUAACCCCAUUUUUGAUGUUUCUAUGGUGCUAGGAAGCUAGUGGAUACCUCCGUUGGAGCAAACGAAAAGCUUCGUUGUCGUCGGUGGGUUUGACCUAGCCUAUGAUAUGAGAAAUCCUCAUAUUUGGUGAUAAGUGCUUCGUAUACAAAAAAUUCAUGCAUUUCCAUGCUAGAUACAUUUAUUGUGAAUUUUAGGAUGCUUAACAUACCUAUGUUAUGUACAAUGAAAUUUUGGACCUCUGUAUAGUAGAAAAUUAGCUGGUGGAACUUGUACAUGUUCGGCACCCUAUUGAGACUCGGAAUUCUAAUUCCUAAUGUGAAAAUGAGCAUCUCAUGCAUGCAUUUAGAGUUACUCCUAUUUGAGACUUAAGGGUUCUUGGAAGCCAUACAGAGGCUCGGGGACUUGUACUACUUAUGAAUAAUUGGGCUAAUGUCAUGAAGGGGCAUUGAGCUCGGGUUAUGUGUGAACCUAGUGGAUAGUGCCACUGAGAGAGUUGGAUAUGCUUGUACAUCCAAAUGUCUAAGUGUCAUAAAGGGGCACUAGACUUAGUAAAUAUGAGAAUUUCACAUUGUGACAUAGAACUAGAUCUUUGAGAUGCUAGUGAUUAUUGCCAUGUUAGAGACAUGAUGAUUGGAUAUUUGAGACAUUGACCUUGCUUGUUUGCCAUUUGUGCUCAUUCGCACAUGCUUGUGAGGGUCGCUCCCUACAAGCCGGCACUCCGGAGUCAGCCUACACGACUAUGUUCGCUCGUGCGGUAUUGAGAAGCCUACGGGGUCGAGUGGGACAGACACAUUCCAAGAGUAGGGAUGUUGGGCUACCACAGGCACUUAGGCGGCACAAGCUGGACUACCCUUGGUAGGUCCUUAAUUGGAAAUGGAAAUCGACACGGGAUGAGUUUGUUAUAAUCACUACUAGAUAGAGAGUAGUAGUUGGAUUACUCGGACUUGCUUCUAGCAUAGAUUUGGACAUUUGGGUAUACAUACAUACAUGUAGUAUGCUAGGAGACAUUGCUUAUUUGCAUUCAUAUAUACAAUGUUGCUAUGAUAAAGGAUAAUCCUCAUAAUUUCAUUAAGUAAACCAUGACAUUAUUUAUGGCUAAGUAGAGACAUAUCCUUCAUGACAAGAUAAUUGUGCAUUACAUAAAUGCCAUGUUUAAUUGCAAGUAAUAGUUUAGCAUUUUCUUUAUGCUUUCAUAAAUGCAAAUUAUUUGUUAUUACUAUUGCUUUCGACUUACCCUUUCUUUUGGGGCCUAGUGGUGCAUUGAGCUGAGGUCAGUAAUUGCCCACUGGGAACUAUAAAUUAUAGUUCUCACGCCCUCUGUUUUAUGUUUUCUUUCAGAGCCUUCCACGCAGGGUGAGGCCAGGGAUCGCGGAAAGGGUAUCGCCUCGGGCUAGCGUGCUUGCCGAGGGAUCGUUGGACAGGUGGUCUACCUCUCUUGGAUUUUCUUUUUGUGAGAGGUUGAGAGUUUCACCCGUGUACUAGAGACCACCAUUUUUGUACUAGAGACAGUCAUUGUAUUACUUUAUGCUUUACUUUUAUGAUUAGUAUGUUUCCUUUAUUCUUGUUUUAGAAGAAUAGAACUUUACUCGCUCUGAUAUCAUUAGUUGUUGUAUUUCUUGCUUUUACUUCCACUUUUAUUGUAGACGCCUUAUAUGUGUGACAUAUGGCAGGUCUGAGCGUGCUACCGGGAGGGCCCCUGCCGGUCCAGGGGCGUGACGUGUACAGCCCUCACUGGGCAUUCUGCGCCCAGAGGGAGCGGUCCCUCGUUGGGGAGACCGGUCCCCGAGAGCCCUCCCCGCGGCCUGGGGACCUUUCGCGUACUGGAACCGGUCCCCACCCGAGAGACCGGUCCCUGGGAGACCGGUCCUUCCUGGGAGACCGGUCCCCGAGAGCUGAAUUUCCAGGACUUAGCCUUUCUUUGCCCUUCUCUCACUGGUGUCGCAUACGGGGACCGGUCCCCUCAGCCAGUGUAACAUACCACAUCCCUCGUAAGUCGUGCCGAGUUCCGUCAAAACGAGCGGAACGCGGAAUUGAACGAGUUACAGUGGACCCUAAGUGCAUUGGAGUUCAUAAAUGGAGCAAAAAGGGACCCGGAGAGCAAAUCUGGAAAUCUGGCUAAGUCCCAGAUUUUGAGCUCUCGGGGACCGGUCCCUGAAGGAGAGACCGGUCCCCGUACGCGUAGCCUGCCAGGAAAUCCUGAGGCAUCCGGUCCCUGGUGGUGAGACCGGUCCUCGGGAGACCGGUCCCUGACGGGCAGACCGGUCCCUCGCUGCGCAACAGCCGAAAAACUCNNNNNNNNNNNNNNNNNNNNNNNNNNNNNNNNNNNNNNNNNNNNNNNNNNNNNNNNNNNNNNNNNNNNNNNNNNNNNNNNNNNNNNNNNNNNNNNNNNNNAGUGUUGUAAUAUUUUAAAAAAAUUGUCGCUAAAUAAUAGCGACAGUUUGAAACUGCCACUAUAUUAAAUAGCGACUGCUUUAUAAGCGACAGUUGUAAAACCGCCGCUACAACUGCCGCUAUGAAUUAUAGCGACAAUUUUUUUACUUUUAGUGACAGUUUUAUAAUUGCCACUAUAUGCCAUAUUUAUUGUAGUGAUUUACCAAUGGCCGAAUUCGCCUACAACAACAGUUAUCAUUCUAGUGUGGAGAUGGCACCAUUCGAGGCUCUUUAUGGGCGGAAGUGCCGAUUUCCCAUUUAUUGGAGUGAUGUGGGCGAGCGCACAGAAUUUGGCCCCGAGGUAUUGCGGGAGGCGGAAGAAAAAGUUCGCCUUGCUCGCAAACGGCUACUUACGGCGCAGUCUCGACAACAAAGCUAUGCGGAUAGGCGCCGACGAGAUUUGGAGUUCGCGGUGGGUGACCACGUCUUCUUGAAGGUCUCGCCGAUGAGGGGCGUUAGACGAUUUGGAGUUCGGGGCAAGCUAAGUCCCCGAUACAUUGGCCCAUAUGAGAUUUUGGAGCGGAUUGGGACGGUGGCUUAUCGACUCGCGUUACCGCCAAAGCUUGCGGAUGUACACAACGUAUUCCACGUCUCCAAUCUCCGCAAAUAUAUACCCGAUCCCGAGCACGCAAUGUUGUAUGAACCGCCGGAGCUUCAGGAAGAUCUAAGUUACGAGGAGUUUCCGGUGGCAAUUACCGCUCGUGAAGUGCGUAAGUUAAGGAAUCGAGAAAUUCCUUAUGUUCGAGUCCGGUGGAGCAAUCACGACGAUCGCGAAGCCACCUGGGAGCUCGAGGAGGAGAUGAAAGCGAAUCAUCCUCGCCUGUUUAAGGAGUGAUCAAGGUAUGAGCCCGGAAUUUAAGAUUCUAAGUAGAUGGUGAAGUAUUGAGUUCGUUUCGAGGACGAAACUCCUUUAAGGUGGGGAGGAUGUGAGGAAGUGAAUUCUCGAAAUACGAGGAUUGGACUUCGACUGGAAUCGACUAGUUGUCGAUUGUGUAAGCUUCGGAAAGUCCGAAGGUGAUUAUAAUGCAUAAAGUGCAUUAAAGAAAGGUCCGCGAGAGCACCAGUGCAAAAAUCUGCACUGGAGCAGAAAUGCUCUCGGGGACCAGUCCCUGGCAGGGAGGGACCGGUCCCAUCAGGCUCGGCUGCGGGGGUCUCUGAUGAGACCGGUCCCUGGUAGUGAGGGACCGGUUCCCGAACGUUGGCCCAGCGAGAUUAGCCGAAAUUUGGCUAAGUCCCGAGAAUCCAGCUCGGGAACCGGUCUCCCGGGGACCGGUCUCUCAGGCAAGGACCGGUUCCCGAACGCGAAAUUCUUCUGCCCGAGAUGGAGAGCUCUCGGGGACCGGUCUCCCCGACCUAGGACUGGUCCCUCGCUGCGAAAACAACCCAGUAAGGGCUGUGUAUUAGAUGGAAAGUUGAGGGGCCUAUUUGUAAAAUGGCCUUUAUUAGAGGUGGGGGACCCCUCUCUCUCCCUCUCAGUUGCUCUCUCUCUCUCUCACUUCCUCUUUGCUCUCUCUCUCUAGAAAGAAAAGAAAGAGAAGAAGAAGGAGAAGAAGAAGAAGAAGAAGGAAAAGGAAAAGAAGAAGGAGAGGAAGGUGGAGAAGGAGAAGGCUAAGAAGAAGAAGAAGAUAUCUUCUUCUCUCCCUCUCUCAAGCUUGGAGCUUGGACUUUUGAGGUAAGCCUCAAACCUAUAAUGGUGGAUUUGUAAACUAGGGUUUUAUGGUUUAGAAAUGGUUCGAAUGAAACCUAGAGAAGAUAAGUAGAUGGUUCGGGCUCACAAUCGAAGCUCGCACCGCGGAUUUCUUCCCCGUUGCCAUUCUAGGGCACGGAAUUGGGAUUUUGGAAAUCUAGGGUUUUGAUCUAUUUUGAGUGGUCAGAAACCUAAUUGCCAUGUCUCCGAACGCGUAGGAAGCGACGGUUCGUCGAUUCGUUGAGCGGGUGCGACGUUCCGGCUGAAACAAGUGCUAGAAGGUCUAUUUUGGCCGAGGAGCCGAGGCGACGUGCGAAGACCGCAAAGUCAAGCUUGCUAACCUUGCGGCGUUAUCAAAAGGUGGGUGGUGUCCAUCCCGAAGCAACCGGGCCCCCUUCUAUGUCUUAGUACAUUUCGAUUCUUGCAUCUUGUGUUGUUGCAUUAUAGGAUGAUUGUGCAUUGCCUUUCCUUAUGCUUUCCUUGAUGAUAUCGUAGCAUGUAUGGGAUACUUGAUAUAGUGGAUUGAUAAGGAUUGGGUCGAGACUUGUGAAUCCUAUAGUGCAGAGAAAAAGAUGGGCUCAAUGGUUGAUUUAAUGUUAAACAAAGAACGAGUGGCAUCUAGUUGAUAGUAAACCAUGAACGAGUGGCAUUUAGUUGAUAAUAAGCAAAAGAACAAUGAGUCGUAGAGUAUAUGAAACCUACGGACUAUAUGAUGAUUGUAACCCCUAAAGGAUAGGGUAUUCUCGAGACGAGGAUUGGAUCAUGCUCACGGUCUGUUUUUAAAUCUUGUGAUGGAAGCCCCACACAAGUAGUGCGCUCCGGAGUUGGUCACGUGGGAUCGCCUAUUUUGGGUCCCAAGGGAUCGCCUAUUUUGGGUCCCGGCAGACGGUCUCGGUUCGUAGUGCGAGUUGACCCUCCCUACCUUCGAGAUGGCUAGUGAGCAGUAGGCUCCUUCAGGGAAGCCACGAGAUUAAGAAACAAGUAAAUGAGAAUCGAUGAACGAGUAAAUAGCUUUACCUUUGGACAUGAAAUAGAAUGGGUUAGUUUGUUUAGCUUAUUUUCAUUGUUACAUGCAUCUAGUAAUAUUUAAGAUUAGGCAUAGUUAGGUGUAUGCUUUACUGUCUGUCAUUCUACCGCUUUCCUUUAUCUAUCUAAUCUAUCGUUAUCUACUUUUGCCCGCUUGGACCUUAGUGGGAGAUCGACGGAGUCCGGCGUCCCGGAACCCACUGCGAACUAAGGAAAGGUUUAGUUCUCACCCCAUUUUAUAACUACGAGGGCGGCCGAGCGAGAGUUCACACGGUUGAGGAUCCGCGUAAGGGCCUACGCCCUGUUGCAUUAGCCUAUUACGCUUCCUUUUUGCAUUAGAGCACCCGUUGUAUCUUGAAGAGUAGAUAGAUGUUAUAGGGUGUGAGGUUUUUCAUUUUGCGAAAUGGUAGCCCUUAUGUUUUAUAUUUUUGGAAGUUUAAAUGUAAAGUAAACUGCGUUGAUUGAUAUGAAUGUAAUUAGAUAGACUCUCUCUCUUUAUCGUUUAGCUUGUACUGCUUCAUACUUGUACUAUGCUCUUUAGUUGUUUUAGCAUAUUUCGUGGCUCUGUUGUUGUUCUGUGUGAUCAUGUUAUGUAUUUCAAGUGAUUUUCCUGGGAACAUUGUUUGUACUAUGAUCUCGCUGUUGCCUUGGGGCGGACAGGGGCAAGGUCCCCUGUCCGUUCGGCGUCUGUCCCGAACCGCGACCCGAAACCUGUACCAAAUUGGUGCGUCUCGGGGCGUGACACUCACAGUGGUUCUCACUGUGAGAAGCCACUGUGAGCCGUUCCCACACUGAGAAGCCACCACCCCACCCCUUGUGAAGAAAGACUCUGUAGCCUUCCUCACAUGAGAAGCCUUCCACUGCCCCUCCCCCACACCAAACUCUCUGGCAAACCCCCGCACCCCCCUUUUUCCUGAUUGGUUCUCUGUUCCUUUGUCACGGUUAUUCCGCGUUCUUAAUGCCAAAGUAGUCGCGCCGCGACCGUGCUUGUACAAUGGGUAAUACCAUCUUUUUCCCUCCUUUUGUUGUAUGUUAGAAUGUUGAUAUGUCUUGAGUUUAAUAAUUUUUACAUGUUAAUAUAUUAACUUUUAGCUCUAUAUCUGGCAACAUUGUUCCUUUCUAUAUCCAUUUGGACGGAAAUUUUUCGCAGAACAAUAAUGUACCACGAGUAUAAUUUGGUGGCUAAAGAAUUGGUUUGCGGUCCCGACGCCAAAAAAUAUCUUCAUUUGGAUUUAGAGAUGGCAAACUAAUUACAAUUGUGUACUAAUUAUGAUCAAGUGGAGACCGUUCUACGCCAUCACGGUUUGAAAUGCUUCCCUCCAAUGGGAGGCGAAUGGGAAUUUGUUAACGUAUCAAAUGACAAUACACUAUCUGGCGUGAUGAGUAUAUUUCCGUUCCAUGGAUGUAUAAAAUUAUACGUGGAGAAAGAUAGGUUGACGGCACACGACCGUCCAAAUACCGUUUAUCAAACGGAAAUGUGUCGUACCCGCAAUGAUCAAAGAAAUUACGUCAAUCGCGAACGAGGUCGUACAUCAAGGUAUAAAGUAAUGAUCUUUAUAAUCUUUUUCGUGAUUUCUCAAUUAGUUUAGGUGCGCGAAAUUAAUAACUUUGUCUUGUAAGUGUUUCAGAGAGUUUGGAGUUCCAUCUCAGCCAGUUAGUGCAGCAUUGCCAUCUGCUGUGAUGGAUUCGUCUCCGUUGGUUGAUCAAAAUGAGUGGUAGGUGAUUGUAUGAUUUAGUUACGUAAUAAAUCAAUGUGAAUAGUUAAUCUUAUAUAUCUCUCUACAGGUCUACUGCCCCUCCUUAUCAAAGUCCACGACCAUCAUCUUAUGUUCACGGAUGGACGGAUUGGGAAGUCAGAACCACUAUCCCUCCUUAUCAAAAUGAAGGUCCAUCAUGUGGUGUUCAUCAAUGGCCGGCUUGGGAAGUAAGAAAUACUAGCCCUCCCUAUGUAGAUGAAGGUCCAGGAUCAUCUAGUGUUCAUGAAUGGCCGGCUUGGGAAGUAAGAAAUACUAACCCUCCUUAUGUAGAUGAAGGUCCAGGACCAUCUAGUGUUCAUCAAUGGUCGGCUUGGCCAGUAAGAAAUACUAUCCCUCCUUAUCAAAAUGAAGAUCCAUCAUGUACUCAUCGUGAAUGGACCAAUCGGGGAGUGACUACAACUGAUCUAUUGGACGUAAGUAGAAGUGAUGAGGAGAAUGUUAGUGAAACUGAUGAAGAGGAUCAAGGGCGAAUUGAUGCUCAUUCUAGUGAUGACGAGGAGUCCUUUGUUGCGUGUUCUUCGGAUCCUGAUCAUGACGGUGGUUUGAAUGCCCUCGCAUGCGCCAUUCGAGAUGAAGGUGUUGAAUGGAUUGAAAACUCAAAUGCCAACAACGAAGAUGUACCGGACCCGGUGGAAUUCGUGGAAUUUGAAGAUCAACGACAACGGUUUGUCCUGGGUAAUGAAUUAAUUAAUCAAAGCGUUGUUGAUGCAUAUAGUGAAUAAAAUAUUGAUCAGGGUCCUCCAAGUGAUGAAGCAUGGGCUAAUCGGACUUUUUCUGAUAAAUCAUCGCUAGUAAGGGCCUUGGACGCUUGGCACAUUGCACAUAAUGUGCAGCUUAAAGUUGUUAAGUCAAAUACAACUAGAUAUACUGUGCAAUGUGUGGUCGAUUCUUGCCCUUGGAGAUUACAUGCCUCUCAACCAAAAGGUAGUUCAUUUUUUCAAGUAAAGACUUAUAAAGGUCCGCACACUUGUUUGGUUCCAAUUCUAAAUACAAGACAUCGAAACUGCACAUCAUCUUUCAUAUGUCAAUUUAUACUACCUACACUGAAGGCAAGGCUUACAAUGAGUCCGAUGGAAAUUCAAGCUCGAGUUCAGAGCGAGUUACACGUUAGCAUAUCAUAUAGCAAGGCUUGGCGGGCACAGAAUAAAGCACUACAAAUUAUAUACGGUAGUUGGGAGCAAUCAUACUGCGACCUUCCUCGAUACUUCUCUAUAUUGGAAACAACAAAUCCAGGAACUAUUACAAAGAUUGAUUAUAUUAGUGUGGCGAGCAAUACGAGAAUGUUUUCACGAGCCUUUUGGGCUUUUGGACCGUCGAUUCAUGGUUGGGAGUAUUGCCGGCCAUUACUUAGUAUCGAUGCUACUCAUCUGUAUGGGAAAUACGGAGGCCACGCAUUAAUUGCCACAGGUGUCGAUGCGAAUGGUGGUUUAUUUCCGCUAGCUUUCGCAAUUUGUGAGGGGGAGAAUGGCUCAAGUUGGGAGUGGUUUUUAAGUUGCCUAAGAAGGUAUAUAACAAGAUCUCGAGUUAUUACACUAAUUUCAUAUCGUUUUAAAGGCCUAGUGAACCUCGUUGCACUUGUAUUCCCACCAUCUGAAGGUCAUGCUCAUCGAUGGUGUUUGCGACAUAUGAAGGCCAAUAUGAAUAUUCAUUUCAAAGAAAAACACUUACUUAAAAUUUUUUAUCGAAUUGGGAGUGCUUCCGAAGAAUGGCAAUAUUACGCAUUAAAGGAAGAAUUGAAGGCUAUGGAUGAAGAAGCUUGGCGUUGGGUUGACAAUCUUCAUAACGAUAGGACAUACUGGGCUAAAGCUUUUGAUGGUGGUCGACGAUUUGGUAUUAUGACAACUAAUCGAUCGGAAAGUUUAAAUGGGGUGUUGAGGGGAGUUCGCGCCUUACUAAUUACAGCUUUUGUGAUGACAACAUUUCAUCGAGUGGUUGAAUUUUUUCUAAAACAUCGGACAGAAGGCGCUGCAAUGUCCACGCAGUUUGUCACGACUGUUGAAAAAACCAUCAAUAGCCGGAUGAGAAGUGCGAGAGGAUAUACCGUUCAACGAUUUGCAUUUCAUAUGUUCAACAUACUUAUUGGCGGGGAUGAUCAAUACCAAGUGACUAUCAAUGGAAGCAGUUCUACAUGUUCAUGUUUGUGUUUGCAACUCACAGGAAUCCCUUGUUCACAUAUUUUGUCAUGUUGUAGUUCAUCACACAUGAACAUAGAUUAUUAUGGCUUAUGUUCUCCUUGGUAUACUGUCGAAUCAUAUUGUAAGGCUUAUGACCGCAAUUCUACCCCGUACCCGAUCGUCGUUAUUGGAUCGCGUCAUAUGAGUCCCCUAUAGUGCCACCACGCGGGAGAAGAAAAAAGGGACGACCCAGAUCUACGCGUAUCCGUAAUGUUAUGGAUGAAGCCAGUGGGAAUAGGAGGGGCAAGUGUAGUAUGUGUAAACAGCCUGGACAUUAUAAAAGCACUUGUCCUGAAAAUCAGCAAAGAAGAACUGAGAGGCGUCGUCGAUAGGUUUUUCUAUAUGAAUAUGACACUUAACUUCUUUAAUCUUUUAUACUUACGCACUAAUUUUACAUCAUGUUGUAUCUAACUAAGUUUUUUUUUUUUUACAAUUUCAGAUGGAUGAUCAUGACGAGCCGGGACCUAUUGAUACAUCCGUGCUGACUGAGCAGCCAUGACAUAGAUCUGCUUUGAUCAGAGAGGAGGUAAAUUUUUUAAAAAUAUUUUAAAUUUACGUAGAUCUUCUUUAACUUAUGUACUAAUUUACGUGCUGGCAUUCACAAUCAUGCAGGGAUAUUCUCCUGUUCAAUUUACGGAGCAUGGCCGUAAAUUGAACAGAUGGCAGUGCGAGCAUCCUGCGGUGUUGGACUUAUUACGCCGAGCAGGAUUUUAUUACGUUUCACGAUUGCGCCGCCUACAGCUCGAUCAGUCAUUAUUGGGAGCAUUAGUCGAGAGAUGGCGGCGGGAGACACAGAGUUUUCAUUUGCGACAUGGAGAGAUGAGUAUUACUUUGAUGGACGUCGCAGUUAUUACGGGACUCCCCGUCGAUAGUGCGGCAGUGACUGGAGGGGGAUCCUAUCAGUGGGCAGAGCUCUGUGGAUUACUUCUCAGGGUGGUUCCGGAGGAUAUUAGGGGUGGUGAGAUCAAGAUAGAUUGGUUAUAUCAGCAGUUCCAUGAUAUCCCUUUAGACGCACCUGAGGCUAUUGUUAGAGCUACGGCUAGAGUAUAUAUACUAUUUCAGAUAGGAUGUAGCUUGUUUCCAAAUCCAAGCGGGAACAGGGUGCAUUUGAAAUGGCUGCCACAUCUAGAGGAUUUUGACCUUUGUGUUGCAUUAGCAUGGGGUGCAGCCGCGCUAGCACAUCUUUAUCGCGCCCUAGGAAAUGCUUGCAUCAGGGGAAAGGUCGAGUGUUGUUGUUUUGGGACAUUAGUUCAGGUACAAUACUUCUAACAAGAAGACCCUUAUAAUACUUCUAGUUAAGUCAUGGUUUUUGUAAAAUUUCUAACAGGAAUGUUUUUUUUUUUGUAUAGAUAUGGGCAUGGGACCACCUACAUAUUGGCCGCCCUGAGGUAGUAGGCCCGCAGCCUGAGCUUGUCGACAUGCCAUUAGGGUGUCGGUAAGUAUUUUUUCAUUUUAAGUUUUCUAUAUACUAAUUUUUCAUAACUAAUAUGAUAUAAAUGAAACAGGUGGAAUACUAGAUUAGCAUUUCGGGACAAUGUCAGGACUACUGACAUUGAGUUUUAUCGUGAUCAGCUGGAUCAGCAGUUAGAGUCUCAGGUAUAUACAAGUUACUCAAUCUGUCGAAUUUUGUAUUCAAUAAUGUGAUUUAUCAGUAUCUUCCCAUUAGGAACACUUAGUUGCAUGUCAAGUUUUACUCUAGCUGCAUGCCUCAGGCCAAUGUAUAGAACAUACCAAAACCCAAUAAAAAACAUCUCCUUUGCAACAUGAAGAUAUAAAUGGUGUGUAUCCAACAAAUAAAAAGCUAUAACACUAAUAAGUGUGUUCAAGUACACAAACAAACCAUCCCAAUGUAAUGUAAGGAUGAAUGAAUAACGCGUGUAUAGAAGCUAGGCUACUAUACUAUCUAUACUAUAUAUAGAGCUAGGCUACUAUAUAGAAGAAUCUAAAUUUCUUCAAAUUCUGAUAGAAAAUACUUUAAACUAUAUAGAUUAAGAUUAACAUUCUUGAUCUUGAAUUUAAAAGUCCUAUGCUCAAAUUUUAAAGAAUAUUCAAUUUUCACCGUCUAUUUUCACAAAAGAUCAUUAUAUGUAUUUUGAUAGCUAAUCAUAUGUAUUUUUCACAAUAGAUUAUAUGGAGGCCUUAUGACGACGCAGUGUUAGAGACGCUCCCACCUUUUUGUCUGGCGGGGUCCCAGGUUUGGCGAUCGAGGACUACCUUAGUCUGCUUCCACAUUAUUGAGCUCCAUCAUCCCGAUCGUGUGCUUCGCCAGUUUGGACUACUACAACAUAUACCUGAACCUGUGCUUGCCAUACCUCGCAUCAAUUCACGAGGCAGAGCAGAUGAGGAUUGGGCGGCAUACCACGCCUCAUACAUUGAGCGUUGGAAUGAUAGAUUGGUAGAUAUAGCAGAGGUGGCCCCUGAGACAGAUCCAGAUCCGAUACGAGCUACCACUGUUUACAUGCAGUGGUAUUGGACGAUCACCAGGAGGUGGAUAUCUAGACCUGUACAACGGCCACCACUUGCCUAUCAGCCAUGUGGACACGUCGAGAGAGUAUUGGUAUGAUUGUAAUUGCAAAUAUCUUUUUAUAUUAAUUUUUAUAUAUACAAGAAAGUUUCGUAUAAUCUUUUUUGAUUGUGCUUUUAUUUCAGGUUGAUAUCGUGCAGAGAUCACAUUAUACGAUCAGACGUGUCCUACCCGAUAUUUCAGGAGGUGGAGUCUUAGCUACCCUAUCACAGGUCGCCGAUCAGAUGGAGGCAGUUCUGGAGACUUUACCUACGCUUCCACACUAUGUACCUCCAGGAUCAGCAGACUAUGGUGGAGCAUCGACGUCCGGGCAUGCACCCGUAUAUAGUCCACCGAUGCCAUCAUCACCGAUAGGGGAGCCACCUUAUGUUGAUGUUACGGACCCGGCACCAGCACCAGUACCGCAGGAUCCAGCUCGAGCAGGUGAUAUUGUUUAUUUUAGGCGUCGACGGCGAUCGAGGUCUAUCCGUACAGAUCAGCCCUCCUCUUCAGCUCCUCCACGGCCAGAUCAGCCCUCCUCUUCAGCUCCUCCACGGCCAGACAUACUACCGGCACAUGCUACUGCUGUGAUUGAGCCGGUUAUUGAGGGUGCUGCUAUAGAGCAUCUAGACCAGUUGGAGAUCUUGGAGCCUUUUGAUGAGCAUGAUGUUGGUCGUGGUCGCGGACGUGGUAGGCGACGUGGUCGAGGAGGUCGAGGGAGGAGAACAUGAUAUUAUAUUUAUAUAUUAUUGUAUAACUUGCAUUUAUUUUGUAUAUUCUGUUUUGAUUAUUUGGUAUUGAUUAUAUUAUUGAGAUUCUAUUGGUUGUGAUGUUGUAAUGUGUAUUAAUUUUGUGAUGUUGUGAUGUGUAUUACUUUUGUGAUGUUGUGAUGUGUUGUGAUAUGUAUUGAUAGGUAUCUGUAUUGUAUUCUUGUAUUGAAUCUUGUAAUUGAUUUUUCUGCGGCAAAUUAAUUGCUGUGUGUGUGGUAGCAUUGGACACGGUGAACCAUUCACCGUGUCCAAUAUUAAACAUGGACACGGUGAAUGGUUAACCGUGUCCUAUACAAGUAUCUUCACAACCCCGAAAAUGGCUAAGUCCGUGUCCAAUACAACUAGCCAGGCCGUAAUUGGCUAUGGAAGUAAAGGACACGGUAAAUGGUUCACCGUGUCUAAACAUGGUGAUUGGUUCACCGUGUUUAGACACGGUGAACGAAUCACCGUGUCUAAUGCAAUAUAACUCCCCGCCGGUGGUGGGAGUAAUACACUAAACACGGUGAUUAGUUCACCGUGUUUAGACACGGUGAACCAAUCACCGUGUUCAUCUUGACCACCUGGCCCAGCCCCUGCCCGCGUGGCGCUGACGUGGCGCUGGCGUGGCAGAGGCAGGGCCAUUUUUGCAAAUAAAUUUUGGACAGGGCUAUUUUUGCAAAUAAAAUUUGUCAGGGGGCUAUUUGCAAAAAAAGCCCCUAAUUCUUAGUACUAAUUCAACUAAGAGGAGACAUCUCAAAUCAAAGUAUGCUUUAGUUGACGCAUGUCAACUAUGAUUCUUUUUUUUUUCUUACCAAAAGAAAAAUAUGCACUAAAUAACAACAUACCUCCAUACAACGUUUUCAUCUAAACUGUUGCUUCUUCGCUAUGCAAUAGACUUGCCAAGUCCGGACACCCAACCUCAACUCAGGAGAAAAUUAAUCUGGAUAUUCAUUUAAUUCAAAUGGAAUCCGCAUAAUCAAUUUAUGUUUUAGUUGAAAGUCACUAAAAUAGUUCUUUUAACACUAAACAUUAGAUUUUUCAAUGAAAAAAUAAAAUUUUAAAUUAUCAGUUUUAGUCCACUAUCCUAUUUAUUAUUGACAAAUUCACAUCAAGUCACAAUUAAACACCAAAUAAAAGUCAAAAUUUGUAAAACGCAAGGCAUUUACCAAGAUCAUGUGCUUCCCCUUGAUAUCGAUCUUGAGGUUGCCGGAGAUUGUGGGCUCGCCAUUGGACUCAGUUCUCAUGCUAUCGGACUGGACGUGGAAGAAUCCAAAUUAACUGUGUUGACAACACAACCAAUGCAGUAUUGGAAAAAUGUUGGAGUGCUCGGAUUUGGGUAUAAGUCAGGUAUCUCUUAUUCACAUCGCAUAAUAGAUUACGAUUUUCGUUAGGAAAUAAUACUCCUACAUUCACUAAAAAGCAUUACGCUAGCAAACCUGUGUAGAUACCCAGAUUGGAAGAACUUAUUCACGAAAGAUUUAACUAUUUUUUGACAAAUUGGUUUGGAAUCGUGUAAAAUUUUCACUUGCAACAGAAUACAGAAGCUCCAAUGAGACCAACUAUAAAGGGAAAAACUCAAUUGAAAACUUUUCUAGACAAAGAAUGAAAAGAGAGACACAAUUCUUAAAAAGAGAUAUAACUUAGUUCACCAAAGCAAACAGGAGCAGAUGUGAUUUUAAAAGUAUUCUCCAAGUCUUUGAUGAUAGAUAUUGCCAUCCUACUCAAGAAAAAAAAAUAAGGUGCAAAAAAUCAAGAUGAUGCUUACAAUUUGUAUCCUCUUCUAUGGCUUGCAGUUUGAGCCUUUUAUUGAUUUCUCAUGUUGCUGUUUUUUUAAUAUGUUAGCAUUCUCCACUCAACAACCAACAAUCGUUGCGAGUAUUAUAAUGAAUUUUAAAUUCUUUUCUAUUUCAUGAAACCUCGAUAGAAACAUUCAAUAUUGAUCGACAAAUAUGCAACCAAUGAAACCUAAAGGGACGUCCUUAAUGUUUCAAAUAAUCUAGUCAAAAAUAAUUAUCUAGAGACCCAUUAAUUAGAAUGUUUUUUAUUACCACAUUUUAGCAAUUUGAAGCACUAAUGGCACCUGUGGAGGCAUUGAAAUCAUAGUUGGGUUGUCUCCUUUAUCUGCUUAUGAUUCUUUUCCCUCUCUCCAUAACUCGUUGCCUUCCCUUCCCACAGAGGAACCCCGAGGGAUAGAGACCCAUCCUGUAAUAGGCUGAAAUUUGAUUAGAAGCUAAUUGUGAUCAAAGUGGUCAAAAUAAUGCUAAAAUGGAAAUUAAGUAUUUCUAAACUUAAUUAGUGGCUUGAGGACAUCAAGUGACAGGUUUUGGAAAUGUGAGAAUAGAUAAGAAUGGAAUUGGAGUGGCUAAAGACAUCCAAUUGCCAUUGCUACUCUUAUGCUGAAAUUUUAGUUAACUUGGUCAAAAAUGAUCAAGUUAAUGCAAAUUUGAGAAUUAAAUGUUAUCAAAUUAAUUUGGUAGCUUGGGAAGUUCAUUUGGCAUGUUUUGGAAGUGCUCGAAGUGAAUUGGAAGUGGCAGAAACCUCCAAUCACUGCUGCUAUCAAGUAAUGCUGAAAUUCCGAGUUAAUGUUGAUCAAAAUGAUCAACAUGAUGCCAAAUUGGAAAUUAAUUGCUUCCAAAUUAAUUUGACAACUUGUAGAGGUAUAUUAGUGUAAUUUGGAAGUGCUUGAGUGGACUUGAAGUGAGUUGGAUGGGCAUAAUAAGCUUCAAAGUGCUGCUGCAGCUAGUUGUUUAGUGCAGGGACUGAAUCGUAAGCUUCAGGGACUGAAAUGUAAAUAUGAAGGUUGCAAUGUACUUUUGCAAUUCUAAGGGGCUAAGCUGCAUUUUUUCAGUCUUAUCCCUUUACCCCAGUUAAUCUGAAGGUGUACACGUAUUGGGACACCCCUCCACCAGCCUAAUCUUAUUCCUUUUCUCCUCUCUUUCUCUCUCAGCCAAGAAACAACCUAGUGGGCUGUUGGAGCUGAAUUCUUGAUGUUGGCAGCUUGGGGAUUUGUAGGCUGAGGUUGUGAGACCUGAUUCAAGCAGGGAGUUAAUUGGAGAAGCUUCAAAAAUUAAAGUAAGUUAAAUCCUCACCUGAUUUAUAUUGGAGCUAGCUACUUAGAGAAGAGUUAAAGGAAGAACUCUUGCUGUCAGGACUUGAGAGCUGAUUAGGACUGGCAGACUUGGUGUCUUCGGCUUGGUGGAGUGGCCGAGCUGAGAGAGGAUGCUAUUGGAGUUGAAGUAACCUGGCGUAACACUUAAUUAAGGUAAGCAACUUGCCCCUCAGCUGAGAAUUAAUUACAACUACAAAGGGAUUAAGUUUAUAGUAUUAGAAUGCUGAAAUUUCAGAUUUGUGAGCUGAAAUCAAGUUGAUAGAUGUUCUUGGUACUGCCGAAAUGCAGGGAUGGCCUAUUUGAUGCAGUGAGCAAGUUAAUUUAGCAUCAAACUAUAGUAAGUUCCUUCUAUAUUGAAUUACAGUUAAAUUAGUUGCUUUAGAAUGGAUCGAAUUGAGUCUUAUGGUCGAAAAUUUCAGAUUUGGGGCUACCAAGUGGAGUUGAUACCUUGAGUGGGUUCUUGAUGCUUCAAGCUGAAAUUAAUUAGAAGAAGUAUCUAAUUAAGGUAAGUUUGAACUAGUAUUGGACUAUAAUUAAGUUACUUACCUUAACGAAGAGUUAAUAAAGGCUUUAUUGACUGCCAGGAUUAGAGCUUGGUAAACUAGUUGUAGAACGCAGCGGAAGUUUUCGGUUCGUACCUUUUUGCGGAAGCGAUUCAGAUUACAACUCGAUGAGCCCGGAUCGUCGAGGUUGAUUCACAUGUCCUUUGAUCGUCCUUGAUUAAAUCUUCUCACGUUCCAAACUCGCGAUGGAUCGAACUACAAACGAGCGCGAUCGAAAAUCCACCGUGCAAGUCCCUCUAGAAUAAUAGGUCAAUGGAGGAUGUGGUUUCUCGCUAUUAUUUUUUUUUUAUUCUCUCUCUGUUUACGUUCUUUCCGUGUAUUUUUUGUUAUGUGGGAUCGCCCGCAUAUUUAUAAGGAAUUCCAAAAUCCUAAUGGCGUUAGAGAUAAGGCCAAAUCGGUUAUUAAUUGUUAUCCUAAUAUGACUAGGAUUUAUCUCUAACUAACUUUCCAAUUUGAAAGCGAGAUUAAUUCCAAUCCAAUUAGAUAACAUAAUAUCCGUCGGAUCGAACCCGCUUAUGGGCGUACCCGAUUCGAUUUAACCGAAUGCCAACACUAGUAAACCAGAAUUGGAGAGAGAGCUUCCUGCUGUUGGAACUAGUGAGCAGAGAAUCAGCUAAGAGAAAGAACUCUGGAGCAUUGAUACAGCUAGUGAGGUAAAUUGAUGUUUAUUCCUGAAUUAAGUAGUGUGUUAGCUACGUUAAGACUGAUUUUAAGUAGCUAAAGUUGAAGUUAGCAGUUGAACUAAUGCUGAAAACUGGGAAGUUUAAAUGCUGAAUUUCAGCAUUGAAGAUUUUAUGCUGAAGCUGAGAGGGAUGCUUAUUCCUGAGUGGAGUGGGCUGGUAUUGCUUUAAAAGAGUGUGAUCAAAACAAGUAUUUCUUUUAUACUCGUAAUAAGCUGUGGAGGAGAAGGUGGAGUGCUGAAAAUUCAGCGUUAUGUAGGAUUCUGUAUGGUGCAGAAUUCAUUAGAGCUGAAAUAGGCCAAUUGAGUAAUUGAUCUAGAAAACUCAAAUUAGAGAUGAUUAGAACAAAGUUGAAAUUGUUUAACUCUAAUCUUUAAAUGAAAUUGGGGGUAAAUUCACUCUAAUUUCUGUUUAGAAGAGCUGCCAAGAGAACUAAUAGGGAAAUGAAGCAAGAUUUCAGCUUAAUGCUGAAAUCAAUGCGGAAUUGACACUUUAUAUAGCAUUGAAAUGCUAACUUGUAAAAUAUGAGAAUAAGGCUCUAGUUUAAUGUCUUCUGAUCCUUUAUAAUGAUAAUUAAACAUGUCCGAAAGUCUAAAUUGACUUUACGACAGGUCGGCGACGCGUUAAUUAAGAUAGAAGCCAUUUUGGCUCUAUUUGCAUCGAGUCGCGAGAACUAGUUGUCGACGCGUUCCGAGACGUGGAUUCUAAUUGUUGACACCACUACAGGUGGGUGGUGCUAUCCGAAGUCUUUGAAUCACCUUUUAUGUCUAUGAUUAUUCAUUGAGCAUAUUUAUAUUUGUAGUCAUGCAUUAUAGGGUGUUCGGCGUUGUGCAAGUGAAAAUGUAAAUUCCUAUCAACAAAGAGAACUCGUGAACCUUAGAAUGUGGACAUAGAACCCUAUGAAUGCACGGACUAUAACAAUAGUGAACUUGGUGACAUUCUAACUAGAGAAUUGGAUAGCAUUGAGAAAUAAAACAGUGAAACUAGCAAAAAGAGCUAGUUAGAGUUAAAGUGUGACAUUGGCUAUUAUUGAAUCCUCUAAAAGAGGAUCAGAUCUUACUCACAUAGUCUGUUUUUAGCUUGGUGGUGGUCGCUCCCCCCAGGCAGUGCGCUCCGGAGUGGUCACUUGAUGGGCUAAAGUAUUUGCCCUUGGACUAAAGUAUCUGUCCAGCAGACGGUCCCGUCGGGAGGCAGCUUAGGGCCCGCAAGGGAUUGAGUUGGUGAGUUACAGUUAACCAAAUGGUUAGCUAGAUUGAUUGAGUAUUGGUACAUUACAGCAUGCAUGCAUACUUACAGUUUUCAUAUAUCAUUUCUUUCAGCUUGGUACAGGCAUUGUAGUAGUUAUAUGUUAUAGUUGGUUACUAUCUGUUUACUUUUUUUGCUACAUAUGCCUGAAUAGACCUAGUGGGUGAGUCGCGAGGUCGGCGGCCGAACCCACUGGGAACUUUUCUGUAGUUCUCACACCACUAACUAUACAGGUUCCAGUGCGAGCGUUGUGGCCGAGGAUCGCGGCAAGAGCCCUGCAGCCUAGCUAGCAGACACCAGUGUUUAGUGGUAUCCCAUUUUGAGUUCAUGUGAGACAUUUUGAUGUACAGAGACAUGUAAAUGAAUGUAUUAUAAAGCAUGUAAAUAACUAAAUGUUUCAGUUAUUUAGUUAUGUAAAGUUCAGUUUAAAAGUUUUAAAUUACAGUGAAUUUUUAGUAUAGCUAGCUUACUAUCACUUGUGAUUGUUGCUUGCCCUCGUGCAAGCCAUGUAUAUUGAAAUGUUAUCUUGGGAAUUGUUUAUUUCUUUAUACAUAUACUCGUUGUUGUUGAGCCUUGGGCGGACAGAGGAGGUUCUGUCCGUUCGGCGCCUGUGUACGGGCCCGGAUCGACCAAAUUGGUGAUAGCGGGAUAUGACACAUCCAUUGCAAAACCUAGGGGGCAGCAGCAGCAAUGGCUUUCUCAGCCUUUUCUUUUUCUUCUUCUUCCUCCGGCGUCUUCUUCUCCCGUAGAUCUCUACGGUGGCUCCUCGAAUGCAGAGGCGAGAAAGAUCGAUCCUUUUUUCAGUUGUUUUUGUUGUUUUUCUUAGGUUUUCGAUCUCCUAUCGUUGUUUUAGCUCUGAGAUCAAAGGUUGGAGCGAGGGAUUUGGACCUAUCCUGGAGUGGAAACCCCAGAGAUUCCGGCUUCUUGGUGUUUGGAUCGGGAGAGAGGGGGUGGUUGGGGUUCUUGAUCUACGUUGCUUAGAUUCACGCGGCGGAGGGGCCUAGAUGCCCCCUUUGUAGCUGGGAAAUUUGAUGGAUCCUGAACCCUUGCCGUGAGAUCGCAAGGACUUAGUCUCGAAGGAAUGGAAGCAUGAUAGAGGGGUGGGCUCCGAUGCCCUAGGCGGCGGUGGCGCCUCCUCUACGCCUUGGUGGAGAGAGCCCUACCACGGGACUCGCUCCUUCUUCCGCGCUUCCCCUCGCCGGCCUCCGUCAGUUACUAUCGUGGAAACCCCUCUCAGUUCUUAUUCCGAAGAUCCCGCCUCCUGUGGUUGCACCUCGUCUCGACCGGACAAGUAUUGUAUCGAAGAUGAGGGCUUUAGACCCUCUGGAAGUUACGACGGUAGGGGUGGUAGAAACAGGAGCAACGGCGGAGGUGGAGGUGGCGGCAGCAACAGCAGAGAGGGCCCAGAUAUUUUCGGCGAUCUCCUUUCGAGAUUCCUAAUGGCAGUAGAGAGGUAAAAAAGGAAGGUGGGGAAAGAGAAGGAAAUGGAAUAGCCGUUGUGGCGAAAGCAUAGGGAAGUUAAAGCCGAGUGGAAAUACUGCAACGGAAGAGGAAGAAAGAACGGAUGCACGACAUGGAGAGGAGACGUUACUUGCCAUAUAAAGAAAACGGAAAGGAUAGAGAAGCGGUUUGGUUCAGAAAUUAAGAGAGUUUAGUUCAGAGAAGAGAAGCAUCGGGUGAGGAGGAGAUGGGUCGUUCGGUUCAAAGCCACAAUUCGGUAACUAAGAAUUCGUAUAGUUUAAUAGAUUCAAUGGGCGGUUUGGUUUAAAUGCUAAAAGAGUGGUUCGGUCCAAAUAAAAUAAUUUGGUUCAAAAUAAGGCUAUGAGGAUGAAGAAUGAUUUGCCACGUGGCUAAAAUUAUUGUGGCUUCAUAUAGGUUUAUAGAUUGUUGCAUUGAGAACAUAAACUACAUGCAAAGAGAUGUUUGUCAGCAUGUCCACGUAAUAAUAGCUAAACUUUAACUAAAAUAUUUCCCGGGUAAUAUAGUGAUGAACAUCCUAAAAUAAAUAGAGCUUAAAAAAGAAUCCAACUCCACCAAGAUGUUUAGUCCGGCAUCUCUUUUGUUCACUCAAAUAGCAGAGUCAUUGAAGAUUUACGAGUUCAAAAUAUAUCCAUAUGCACAUAGUAUAUUCAUCUAUAUCACUUCGGCAAAGAACUUUUUAAAUCACACAAAAUCCCAUCCCGUAGAGUUUAUCAUCUUAUGACGUGCUCCUAUACCCAAACAAUGAAACAAGCUCUAAAAAUUAUCUGCUUACGAUUUGGACCCAGUAAUCCUAUAUGGAUAAGCACUUUCAGCAACACUUUGCACAAAUCCUUGAAGAAUUGAGAGUAGAAAAGAAACAAGCAUCAAGAGAAAGGGAGUGUGUUUUUUUUCUAAACAAUCUUUCAUAGUAUGGGUUAGUUAAUAGCACAUACAGGUGAAACUAAUGCUGUAAAUGGUUUCUCACCAAUAAGCUACUCAAGAAACAAAUGGAAAUGGACAAAAAAACAAAAAAUUGCCCCUAUUGUACAAAGAAUAUCUUCUUGCUUUACUUCAUUGCAAUAGUAAAUGCAGAGCUGAAGAUGUCUAACCACUGUAACAAUGUCCAGAGAACCAAAUUAGUCUGAGAACUAUUGUUUGUAUAAUAUAGCAGUAAAUAAAUAUAAGAACUUCAGAGAAACCAAACAAAUCACAAAUCACAACAUAAGGAAGAACCAAGAAUUAGCUAAGUGUUUGAAAUCAGAUUCCGCAUUUUUCUGUUCCACUACAGUGUUAAAGAUAAAUUACAAAAAAAAGACCACCUACUUUUAAGACCUUGCCUCUCUAUCCGCAUGAAAAAAAUUGGCAUCAAUCGCAAUAACAUGUUACCACCAUCUCAUAUAGGCCCAAAAGUUUAGGAUGACUAGCGGAUUUGGAUGUAAAACUUCACUAGAACUAGUUCGUAUACUGUGUCAAUUUUAUGUUUGAAUAUUUAUCCAACUUACAACUUAGUGACAAAUCUACAACCAAAUAAUAGAGAUUUUUUUAAAAAAUAGAUUUAUUAUUUGGUCAUUUAUUAGACAAUUUAUUCAAUUUAUGUGGUUUUUGUACACUCAGUAUGAUCAAGACUUUCCAUUAACUCAUUUGCAUUGUGUUUUGCAUUCAACUCAUUCAUAAUUCCAAAAUUUGGGGCUUGUUUUUGACAAUAGUAAACCGGAGGGUUGGAGCAGAUGCAAUUUUGGUUUUGCAGGUAGCUAAUAAGAAAAACGCUGAAGUGCAAGUUUCGUAAUUUGGGCUAGUAGUAAGUAAAAUAUCAUUCACGGUUUAGUGACAAUAAUAGCACAAGAACCUGUGCAGUGGAAGAGUAAGAAACUUCAUACAAACUAAGCAUACUCCAAGUGAAAGCGUAUACUUUGACUUAUUAAUCCUGUUCAGUAAUUAACCUUCAAUUGAAGCAAGACAUUUCGAAAAUAACUUGUCGGACUAUAUGGCUGCAAUUUUUAUUCUUCAGUUGCAGUCCUAUGAAACAGACUAAAUUAACUGGUCCGUAAAGCACAGUUGACCACUCCACUAUCCACCUACAUAUCCAGCAGAAAUAAACAGAGCUCUAAUAAAAACACAACUAGCACAUCUAAUAAAACAAACGACUAGUGAAUGAUAAGUUCUAGGAACCAUUUAGAAAGUUUCAAUCUGUACUAAAAAUUCUCCCUUUCACGUUUCAAUCUGUACUAAAAAUUCUCCCUUUCUCAUUUCUUUACAUGGAUCCCAUAAUGACAAGAGAGCUUUAUGUCAAGGACUUAGAAAAAUUUCAGCCCAUUACAAGUCCCUAUCCCGACCUCGCUAACUGAAAUUGGCAGCCAAAGAGUGUCACACCCCAAUAAUCCCACAUCGGAUAUGAAUGGGGAUGUGAUUGGGUAUAUAAAAGACUUAAACACUAGUAAUAAUAAGGGAAAACUUCAAAUACCCCCCUGUGGUUUCACUUUUUUCACUUUAAUACCCUGUGGUUUAAAAUGUAUCAAGUUAGUACCCUAUGGUUUCUCACGUUAUCACUUUAGUAUCCUGUGGUUUAAAAUGUAUCAAGUUAGUACCCUGUGGUUUUGCACUUUAUCACUUUAGUAUCCUGUGGUUUCGUACUUUAUCACUUUAGUACCCUGUAGUUUAUAAACCACAGGGUACUAACUUGAUACAAAAAUAAAACUAUAGGGUACUAAAGUAAUAAAGUGAAAAACCACAGGAUACUAACUUCAUUUUAAACCACAGGGUACUAAAGUGAUAAAGUGAGAAACCACAAGGUACUAACUUGAUACACUUUAAACUACAAGGUACUAAAAUGAAAAAGUGUGAAACCACGGGGGGGUUUUUGAAGUUUUUCCUAAUAAUAACUAGGCUUAAGCAUUUUGGGCCGGUGUUUGGGCCCAACGAGUUAUUAUUGCCAGUGGGCUAGGUCGUUAUAUUUGGUAUCAGAGUCAGUUCACCAGCCAGAAAUGUGUGGCGAGUAAUAGGCUAUGCCAGAGUCUGAAUGACAAAAUAACCGGCUAUGCCAGGGUCUAGAUGACAAGGCUAGCGAAACGAGUCUCAUAUCGCCUGGUGAUCUUGUGCUGUGUGUGUGAUUGGACUGACGAGAACGUCAGGGCCUUAACGGAGGGAGUCUGUCACACCCCAAUAAUUCCACAUCGAAUAUGAAUGGGGAUGUGAUUGGGUAUAUAAGAGACUUAGACACUAGUAAUAAUAACUGGGCUUAAACAUUUUGGGCCGAUGUUUGGGCCCAACAAAUUAUUAUUGCUAAUGGGCUUGGUCGUUACAAGAAGGUACCAUUCUAGCACCUUGUGUGGGAGACAAAGGGUAACGCAAUUGCAGCAUUAAAGCCUCGAAAAUUGCCAGCAGAUGCCCAAAGGUCACGAGCAACUCUUGGGUUCCCUUUCAUAGUUUUUCUAGCCUGUAGUGUGUUAACGUACGAUGGUCAGUGGGCAGAAUCAAUGUACCAUAUGCCUAUACGUAAGAGGAUUGGCUGAGGCCAAGGCAUAGAGAGAUGCACUUGUAAUUCUAUUUUUCUAAGUAAUAGAGUACUUAGUUUUUUUUUUUUUUUUUUUUUUNUGUUUUUUUGCAGACCCUGUCUCUCUUUUCACUCUUUUGCACUUAGUCGCAGACCAGAGGUCCGGGAUAGCAAACAGAGAGCAAGACUUGCCCAUCUUCGCUGAAGAAGUCGGGGGCCACACGGGCUUAGUGAGCAAAAUUCCUAAGUCCGUGAAAUUAAGCUACUUAAAUAUUUCUCUUCUACAUGACAGAGUUUUAGUCACGAUGAUAUCUCAACAGCACAAAAAGCGUACAUAUGUAAUGCAGUUUCUGAGAUGAAUAGUUUUUUAUCAGAACUGAAAUUGAGAGUCGCUAUUUAGUAACUACAUCAUGAGCAUAAGGCAUACAAAAACCUGGCAGAGAGGCCAGACUGAAAUUUUCAACAGGGUCAUCCUUUCCUAAAAUAAGUGCUUCGUCAACAUGAUUUGAAGAAAUCUUCAAUAUUAUCAUUCUUUUCAUAAGAUCCAGUACUAUAAAAACCCCUAAAACAUCAUCUUGAACAGGCUAGAUUGAAAUUUCUCCUACCAACCGACUAUAAUGGGAGUUUAGAUGACCACAAGGGUGAAACUUCAAAAACUGACGCCCAUUAAAACUUUCAAUAUAGAAGUUACUAUUAUCUAGAUAGUUGUUCAUCCAUAUUCCUUAUUUCUGCAAUAAAAUUGAGGUUUGCCACCAUUGUUAUGUGACCUAAAAUAGAUUGGGUGUUUGGACCCCAGUGAAACAGGCACCUAACCAAUUUGAUUUUAUUUUCAGACUAGAAACAGAUUUGAACAACUAAAAUUCUAUUAAACUAAGACUUGACCGGUUAACUAGUUGGCCUGAAUAGCCUAGCUGCCUAGGUGAAGCAGGCUAUGCACAUGGGCUCCUGUUUUGUCAUAGUCCAAAACCUCACUUAUUGACUAUGUUGCACAGAUACGGAUACGGGGAUACGGAUACGACACGAUACGGAUACGGCGAUACGGCAAUUUCUAAAACUUCUAGGAUACGAUACGCGGAAUAUACUUGAAUAAAAUAUUAUUUUAAAUAUAUUUAAAUAUAUGUUGAUUAUAUGUAAUAAUAUAUUGAGAACAAUCAGGAUAUCUGGACUAUAUUAAGGAAUAUAUUCUAAUAUGCAUUAACUUGUAUAAUUGUUCUACAUAUGUUCAUAAAAAAAGAUAAUCAAUCAUAUAAAAUAAUAACUCAAAAAGUAUCAAACCAACUAUCAUCCAACUUGAUCAAAUGAUAAUAAUAGAUAUGUAGUCGCAUAAACUAGAUAAUUAGCCAUUCAAUAUAUAUGUAUGUUUUGUUAGUUCUAUUAUUAAAUUAGUAAUAAAAAAAUAUGCUAACAAUUUAAUAGAAAAGGAAAAAAAUAAUAUUUUCUAUAGCCUUUGUUGCUUAAUGCUAGGUUGACAAAUUAGAUGAAAGAGAGUAAAUACUGUGUGAAGAUAGAACGAGAGGGAGAGCCUUCUACCAUUCAAUAGCAAAAAGCGCCUUCUACCAUUCAAGAGGAAAAAGAUAGAUGAAAUGACAAAUUGAACAGAGAUUGACGUUUUUCUCACUCUUUUCCUUCUUUCCAAUAAGUUUGGACGUAAGCUUUUAAAAAAAUUUUAAGUUUCGAUCAUUUUAGACCAAAAAAGAAGCUAGCCGUGUCCCCCCCGUAUCCCCCCGUAUCCCUCACGUAUCCGAGCGGUAUCCGAGCCGUAUCCGAUAUUUUUUAAUUUUUUAAAAUUGCCGGAUACUUCAUUCCCGUAUCGGACACGUAUCGGGCGCGUAUCGGGCGCGUAUCGGUAUCCGAUACGUAUCCGAUACGGGUACGGCAUGAAAUUCGAAGUAUCCAUGCUUCAUAGCUUAUUGAAGUUCAAAAGAUCAAAAGAAAAGGAAAAACUUCAAUUUAGUUAGAUUUAAUACCUAAUCCUCUAGUAGAAAAGCAAGCAACCAAGAAAUUAACUAUCUGGUGCAUCAAAGCCUAUCUAGCAAGUCAUACUGUACUCACGACUUAUAAGCAUGUACCGUACCUCGAUGCUGGUAGGCAUGUCGAGUGAGACAUUUUGAUAUGCCAAGCAUAUUGUACACCGUGCCAAUAACAUGACAUACAAUUUUUUCCCUAUUUCCUUCUCCAAAUCUCUCUCGCUCUCUCUCUCUCUCUCUCUCUCUCUCUACAAGAGCAGAAGAAAUAGGAGUAAGUUAUCUCUCUCUCCUGCUCCCUCUUCUUCUUUGAAAAUUAUAAAAUAUGAAUUUUCCAUUAGUUUCCUUUGGAAAAAAAUAUAUCACAAAGAAUGAAAGAGUAAGUAGAUCCGCUUGAUACACUCAUCAAAUUAUACCCCCAUCACAGUACAAAUUAUACAGACCUCAUUAUUGUUGUAUUUACUUAUUAACUUCAUAUGUAUUGCAUUACAAAUGUAGAUUUGUGGGUAUUAAAAGUAUACAGCCAACUGCAGCCAAUGGGUCAAAAGAAACAAUGAAUAGAAACCCAUACCAAAGAAACGACCAUAAAAGACUUCUUUUGAUCAAAAAAGGCCAAAUAAACCUGUGCCAAAGUGUGCCCGUGUGUGUCAAUUGGUGGUUUGCAUGCCUAUCAGCACACAUCAGUGCCAACACUCAGCACCGCGUUGAGCCCGUGGUCGUGACAAUAAGGACUCAGCAUGCGCCCUUACCUCUGCACUUCAGUCCUUCGAACUAAACAUCAAGCCAUCAACUCAUGUCUCUCAAAUUAGAAGUAGUUCUUAAUUUAAGUUCAGGGUCCUAAAUAUUCUAAUGAUCUUUGAUAAAAAUAAAAUAAAUUAUGUAGAUUAGACAUUAUCUUACUUAUUUCCAGCUAUUAAUCUGUUAUUUAUAUGUUCCUCUAUUUGNAAGUACUCGACUGUAACUCCCAGCAUCAGAUUGAACUAACAAUGAAAGUGUUUCUAAUGAUAUAAAAUAUACUUACGAUCAAAGUGUUUCCACUAACCGUUAGAUUGAACCUGCUGGAGUCAACCAACCAGAAUAACACGCAGGAAAUUUAUUUUAAAAUUUUUGUUUCUUACGUUGCCCGGGCAUGAAUAUCAACUUAUUUUCUGAGAAACCAAACUACAUAAGAACAACAACGAGCAUAUAUAUAUACAUGAUCUUUUGAGGAAAAAGAUGUGGAUCCAAAAACUAAUCGCAAGAUCCUGUAGCUAGCCGUCUCAUAUAUCUACCUAAAAACAUGACCGAUCACCAGAAAUCUGGGAAUAACAUUUUAGUUUCCUGAAAAGGUUCUACAAUUCUAUAUCCCCGAUUCCCCGUUACGACCAGUAUUAAAUAAUGCAAAGCAGAGUUUCGUAAUAGCUUCUUAGUUUCUAGAUACUGACAUAGAUUACGACCUAGACAUGAGAUCAGAUCUGAAAAGAACAUAUGAAAUCAUUAGAAAAUGGGUGAGAAAAGCGAAAAUUGGCUAAAACAGCUCCUGCCCCGUAGAUUACUUAACACGAUCUCACAACACUAAAGAAAACGCUGGAUCAAAACCGAACGAAUCAAAUAUUAAGUAGAAAAAAAGCGUCUUCAAAUAUAAUCCUCUGAUUCCAACAAAAAAUACACAAAAUGUGAGCUAAAACAUAGAUCUAAAACCCUAAAAAGAAAAAAAAAAGAUCCAGGAUCGUGGGAAGCUCACCUCUAUCGAGUCACCACCACCUCAGAUCUCGAAGCCAAAGAGAGAGAGGUUAGGAUACAAAAACGAAACCCUCGAAUGGAGAUAUAAAGGAAGAGAGAAUAGAGAGGGAGAGAGAGACAGGGAACAAAUGGGGUAGCCUCGUUCUUUCUUUCGCUUUUGAUUUUUUUUUAAAAUUUUUUUUGAUACCUUCUUCGUAAAUUUUCCCAAAUCUGGAAUUGCCAUAAAUGCUGCUGUGCUUCUCUCCAUAGUCUACUUGCCCUCCUUUCAAAUAAUAGAACAAGUCACGUGCCCUGAAAAAUAAAUUCCUCAAAUCCCAUCUUUUAUCAAUAACCAAACACAAACGCGAAUUCUCUCAACUACAAAUGAUUUUGAAAUAGACCACUCAAACUGUUUCUUCUAUUUCUAUCAAAUAAAAUUGGAAAUUUUGCUAAACCUGACAUUGAUCUGAACACAUUUUUAGCCGACGAAACUGCAGAAUUCAUCAUAGUUAACGGCUAAUAGCUGACAAAAUCGUUAGUUUUUAAUGAAUUUUUCCACAUCAAUUUAGAAAAGUAACUCAAAUCAAAACGAUAAAAAGUUGACGACACAACCAAUAACAAAAUCAAAAUGAUGAAGAGUUUUUAUUCCAAGUAAGAAUUAUUCGUAUCAACCUAUCAUGAACGCUGGUCAAAGACCCCAAAUCCGGCACGAGAACGCGAUGGUCCUUCUUCUCCGCUCCAGCGAAGUACGAGAGCCCUCUGAGCCUCUGUAACCAAUCAAUCAAACAAAAUAAAAUUACAAUAAAUAAAUAAAUAAAUAAAUUUGGCCCCCUAAACUUCUUUUUUUAUUCGAUUUGCACUUCUCUACUUACUAACCGCUUGAUUUAGCUCCUUCCGUUAGCAAUUUUUGUAAUUUUGUUAGAACACGAAAGAUGCACGUGGCAGUUUCAAUUGUUAACAAAAGUAGCUACAUCAAAUGGCUAGUAAGCAGUGAAAAUGUUUAGGUGGUGCCUACACAUUUUAACAAAGAAAGAAAAAAAAAACUAUAUGAAAAUUACCUGAACUAUACACUAUUUUGAGUCGGCUAUUCAAUCUUUCAAAAUUUUAAUUUUACUAUCCAACCUUUCAAUUUGUUUGAUCUGAAUCAAUGAACGACACUUCAUCUUCAAAAUUUAAAUGCGUUGUUUAUCUUUACAAGUUUAAUUGGUAUCCUUCCCGUAAUUCUCGCAACUGUAAAUUUUAUUAAAAGUAAGAAACUAGCUUAAAUUCUAAAGUUCGGACAAAUUAAAAGGUUCAGCAGUAAAAUUAAAAUUUUGAACGUUUGGAUAGCAAAUUCAAAAUAGUUCAUAGUUCAAAACCUAAGUUCUGUACAUAAAAAAAAAGAAAAAGAAAAAGAAAAAUCCCCCACAAUUUUUUUUUUUCGCAUAGACAUUUCAUCAAACACCUAACAGGCGAAAACAUACACCCAACUCAAUCCAUCCACCCCUCGAUCAUUUAUCUUUACAAGUUUAGUCCCUAUAAUUCGCCAUGUAUAAAUUGAUCAUUUAAAUUUGAAAAUUCUACCAAAUUGAAAGGUCGGAUAGUAAAAUCUACAUUUUGAAAGGUCAGGCAAAAGCCGAUUCAGAAUAGUAGCAUAGUUGAGGUUAAGCUCCGAAGGAAAUAUUUCACACGGGCAUUUCACCGAACACUUAGCGGGCGAAAAUAAAAAAAAAAAUCAUAAUAAAAAAAAGAUACCCCUUUGCCGAAGCCGAAGAUGCCGUGGACGAGGACGAUCGGCGGCUGCGGCGAGUGGGCGAGGACGACAGUCUUCCCCCCCUUCCCCUCCUGCUCGGCGGUGGCGAAGUUGAAGGUGGACGGCCGGAAGCAGUCGGCGGCCGCCUGCGAGAGGUCGGAGGCGACGGCGAUGCUCAGGAUGUAGAGCCCGAACAGCAGGUGCAUCGCCGCGCUUUUGACCGCCGCCGUGCUCGUGGUGUGCUGCGGCAUGGAGUGGCGAGGCUCCGCAGCGGCUCCCGUCCCCUCUGAUCCCGCGUGGUGAUCGCCGGAGAUCUCUCCGGCGGCGAUCGCCGGAGAUCUCGGCAGGAAGAAGAACUGGAUACGAAUGGGAAGGGUUUGGGAAAAAAAAAAUGUCGCCGUAUGCUAACGGAAUUAGGUGAGGGUUUGGAACUUAAAAUAUAAUGUGGAAAUACGAAUAAAUAAGAAUGGUAUUGAUAUUUUAAGAAGCAUUAGUUGUGGUAUAGUGGUUGAGAGGGAUUAAAUUAAUGUAAAGGUUGCGGGUUCAAGCCCCAGUCUCUUAUUUUUUGUGACAGUUUUUUUUCUAUUUUGUAACUAAAAACUUUUUUGGUGACAUACGAAAUUUAAAUCCGUAACAAAUGCACUACUUUUUUGUAGUGAGAAAACCAGAAAACAGGGGCGUGAGAACUAUUAAGAAUAGUUCCCAGUGGGCAAUUACUGACUUCAGUGAGUGCACCGCAAGGCCCAAAGCUACAAUAGAUGUCAGUGACUAUAAAUGUAGGAAAAUGAAGGGCAAGUAAAAAAAUGUAACUUACUACAACAUGAUAUCUCUGCUUAGUAUAAAUAGCAUAAGUAUGAAGUCAACUAUGCAUACAAUACAAGUCUCCAACUAUCAUAAUAUCCACAAUGCGAAAUAGUAAAGUUUUGUUGUUUACUAUUCUAGUCAAUGUCCAAGUAGUACACUAAGUCAUCAUGUCAUAAUGAAUACUCAAGUCAAAUCUGAAGAGACCCACCCGAAGGCUGUCUAUGGCCCUGAGACCCACCCGUAGGCUGUCUGGCCGGUGCCGAGCCUAAUGGCCCCGUGGUAGUCAUCAUCCCCACCCUAGGAAUGAGCCUGGCCCACGGCAAUCCACUUCGGCGCCCAAUCCCGCACGGCGAAUAUGUAUCGCGAUGGCCAUCUCCGGAGUGCCGGCUUGUAGGGAGCGACCCUCACAAGCAUGUGCGAAUGAGCACAAUGGCAAGUAAUCAAACGAUCAGUCGCAAGUACCAAAUUCUCAUGUUCAGUAACAUGGUAUAUAGCAAAUGUCCUCGUGGCCAAGUCACUAUUUCAUCAUAUCUCAAAUAUGGAAUAUAGUUGAUGUCAAUGUGGCCUAUUAUCAAGUCUCUAUGUUGCAGUUUAAUAAUUCUCUAGUCCAAGUGCCUCUUUAUGACACUAUGGCUCAUUUUGUCCCAACAUGGAUACUAAGUUCAAGAACUUAUAAUUUCUAGUCAAAAUCGAAGCAUGAAACUUUAUUUCCUAUCAUCUCAUAGAAUAUUCGUCGCAUGCAUAUUAACAAAGCACAUUUGUCUCUCUACUAUAUAGAGUAACUUUCUUGAUGCAUAACAUAUGAGUUCCAAGCAUUCAAAAUUCCCAUAAAUGCUACUAAACAUGAAUAUGCAUGAAUUUGAAGAGAAUGAAAGCAUUUAACCACUUAGGAGGAAUUUCCUCCGAUUUCAAGGAAGCCAAACCCACCGUCGUCAACGAAGGCUCUCGUUUGUCACGACGAAGGCGUCCACCACACUCCUAGUACCCUAAAGGUACGAGAACAAGUGUCAUCUAGUCGAAACGAACGACGCUAAGUUCAAUCAUUAAGCAUAUAGGGCUAGGGUUGACGAAAAACUCACCGAUUGCGAAGGAAGCUCUCACAAUCUCCAAAUGGGAGCUAGAGUCCUUCCAAUCUAACCUAAACAAAGGUUCUAAACCCAUCAAUUUGGUACAAAAGCCCUCAAAACGAAAAUCCCCAAAUUUAACCCUAAAAUCCAAAAUCUAGGGUUUGAUCUAGUAAAAUCCAACAAAAACUAGAUCUAGAGGAAAGGAUCUAGUUACUAACCUCUUAGAAGCUCCAAACUAGGCCCCAAUCCAAAUGGGGUUGAAGAUUCUCCCUCCACAAAGCUCCAAUCCCGAGCUCAAGGCUUCUCUCAUGGAGGAAACCCAAUAAGAAGCAAGAAAAGCAAGGAGGAGAAGAUCAAAACCCAACAAAAUCCAUCAAAAAUGGGAGAGAACUCAAGAGAGGGAGUUCUUACCUUGUCUCCUCAGGUUUAGGGCUCAAAGGAGCUCUCAAAGGGGCUGGGGUUGUUUAUAAAGGGGUUGCAACAAUUGCAAAAACACCCCCCACGAAACUGCCCAGAUUCUGCAUUGUGUACCGGUACACGGGAAAGUGUACCGGUACACCUUCUGCGAAACUGCCCAACCCGAGCCUCGGGUUGGCAGAAAAACUAUUGUGUACCGGUACAACCAUCAAGGCGUACCGGUACAAAUUCUAUACCGGUACAACCAUCAAGGCUGUACCGGUACACAGCCUGGCUGAGGCUAAUCCGAGAGCUAACCAAAAAUUCAACUUUUUGGAUUUUGGUACACUGUUUCAAACCACAAUUCUCGGGACUCGAACCAUAGGUCGGAACACUGUCUACGACCCUUCAGACAGUCUGAGAUGGCUCGUCACGCAGAUCAAACACUCAAACCUCGCAAUUUGCAAAGGUCCAGUGCGUCACAAUUUUCAAGCCGAUCUCAAGCUAGCUCCGUUUCGCUUGUGUUCGGCACAUUGACAAUUGAGCCAAACACAGGCCGGCUCGAAUUAUUUUCGAGCUGGUCUCGAGCUGGCCCGAGCUUGCUCAUGUUCUGCUCGUUGACAACCCUCCAUAUAUCUUUAACAAAUGAGAAUGCAAAUUCAUAAAUUUACUCCAGAUGUGAACAUAAAAUGAAAAGUCAGGAAAAUCAGUUUGUGUAAGAAACAGAAAGAUUCAUAAAUCAGGUGUAGCGUCAAUGAAUUAAGCAUGAUACUGUUAAUCUGUAUAAAAUGAUUCAACCAUCCUAAGAAGCCAGAUAAGCUUGCAAUUAAGAAGGUAACUGAAAAUGGAAAGUAUAACUUUCAGUUAUACUUUUGUCUUGUAAGAGAACAUGGAAACAGGCUUGUUUCGUCGAAGCAUGAUCCAGUGAUUCAACAAAUAUUAAACAAUGACUUGUAAAGAAAAAUUGUAUAACUUAUCACAAAUUGGCAUUGAUCUCAAGAUAUACGAAGUGUAAGUGCAACCUAGUAAUUGAACUCUGAUGUCUUGGUGCUGUCGGCAAAUGAUGGACACAACCUGUAACUAGAGCUGAAACGUGGAAAAAUUCUGGCCAGGUCAUUGUGCUAAACCUUUCAUACUAAGUGCAAAGUAUCUCUAACAGUAACAUCUAGACCAUGGAAUGCCUAUCCUCUCUCUGUAUGUGCGCAAACAUAUAUGAUAAAAAAGGAUUAGUUACCUAACUAAAUACUCUUGACUAAAGGUCCAAACAGUACCAUGUAUGCAAAGCUCAUCUUUUGCGACCAUCCAAAAACAUAAAAGAAUUGUCUAACCUGUAUUACUGUCAUACACACAUCUGAUGACGCUAGAUUACACUAUUUGUCCUCAAACUCUUGUUUGUAUUUCAAGGUGGUCCCUAAUCCUCAAUUUAUUGCAUCAGGGGUUCAAGCUAUCAAAUUAUUCCAAUCCUAGUCCUGCUUUCAGUUUCCAUUGUUCAGAGAGAGGGAAAUCUAAUGCACCAUGCCACAGUGGCAACUCACUAUUUCUAAGCCCAUUCAUUCUGAGCAAGCAUGAAAACUCCUACCAUAGAACACUUAAAAAUUGCAGGUUACGUGUCUAUUAAUUAACUGCAAGCCAGCAAGCAAAUUAAUAGGCAAAGUAGGGUUUCUCUAGCAGGAAUUUCCCUACUUUAGUCAUAAUUGAUGGUUGUAGAAACAAUGACUCUGCACACCAGAUUUUUGUCUAUCUGGUAAAUGAAAGCUGAUAGAAGAACAAGGAUUGGAAAAUAGGCUUCCUAGUGCAAUGUUUAUGGACUAACGUACAAUUUACCUUCUUAGUUGCAUAAUUAGAAGUCUUGACAGUCUUUGUAUAAUGUCUUCUUCAAUCCUAGGAGCAAAAUUGUGAAGUCCUUCACAAACCUUUGAAUACCAAGAUUUCAGAAACCAUAUUUUUGUAGUCUGGAAUUUUACAACAGCGCACCAGUAGGUUCUUUUCAAAUUUGUGGCUGCAUUAGAAUCUGUGCUUGUUUAGUUCUGCUUAUCUGAAUCUAUGCUUGUUUAGUUCUGCUCAGAUAACCCAAAAAAAGGUGUUUGGCAUUUAUGCAAUACUUAAGGAAGCGCAAAAAAAUGCGUUCUUCAUCCCAACCACAAAAGCUCCAUUGUUCGAUCGCCUGUAAUAUAGGCAAAGGCCGAACGCACAAAUCAUAGUUAUUGAACACAUUAAAAUGAUGAGAAUGCCCAUAUACAAAGAGUAUACUUCAUGUCUGCCUAAUUUAAAUUUGUCCAAACUAUACAUUCUUUCUCUUCUGUCGUGAAAAAUGCAAACUCUCUCUCUCUCUCUCUCUCUCUCUCUCUCUCGCAUGCGCAUACAAGAGGAGACCCUCCACCUGCUUGGUCGUAGGGGACCAUCACCUCUGCAAGCAGGAGAACGUAGGCCCUUCUUAUCUGCGAGCACAAGAAGAUGAGAAGGCUCCUACGUAAGCAGCAGGAGAUCCUCCUCCUAUGCCAGAAGGAAAACCUCCUACAGAAGACAGAGGGGUUUCCUCUCCUAAGGUUCACAGAGGAACGGCGCCUCUCCUCCACCUUUAUAAACAAAAGAGGAGAAGCUUUACCUUCCCCUUCUUAAUGCCAAGCAGAGGGACCCUUGCCGUAAAGGCUAAGGAGGAGCGCCCAUCCUCCUUAGCAUGGAGAAGCUUGCUCUCCUGCAUGAAAAAGGAAAUUCUCCAUUCCGCGCUUGCAAGAGGACUUCCACCUCUGUAAGAAGCAAAGUGUAAGGUACAGAACUUCUUAAAUUAUGAAAACUGGAGGAUAAGUCAGAAUUCUUUUUAUAAGGCUAGAUUUAAAGUUUCAUAUCAUUCUGACACCCGAGAGGUGGAAAAUAAAAUCCGACAGUUAUCUGAUAAAGAUUAGAGUUCGGUAGAGCUUCCGGUGACCAAACGGGGUCGAAACUAAAAGAUUAAAAUUUCUUUCAGUAAGUUAAGUAAAACCGAGCAUGACUGCCAAAUUUGAGCUCAAGCGGACGUUCAGAAGGGCAGACGAAAAAUAUCUGUAUCGUGCUGCUAAACUGAAUGUGAAUAGUGUUCUUGGAUAACUUGGAGGUCAAGUUUCCUAUGAAACUUGGGAUAACUUGGAGGUCAAGUUUCCUAUGAAACUUGGAGGUCAAGUUUCCUAUAUACAUAUAUAUAUGAAGGAUUGAACCUUUUCUCUCAUUCCCUCACACUUGCAACCAAAGAGAAAGAUCUCUCUCUCUCUCUAGCAAUUUCUCCACCAAAGAGAGGAAUUGGAGGUGGAUUUGGAGAAGAAAAAGCCUGCUUAGAGGUGAAGCUUUCUUUUUCUUCACCAUUGGCUUGAAGAGAGCUUGGGUUUGAGAGGUUCGGCGAUACGACGAGGCUACGUGAAGAUAUUAAAGAACGAAGCCGUUAAGGUACAGAUUGCCGCAGCUCGCGGCGAAAGCUUCCAAAAAUCACGAAAUCGGAACCCUAACCUCGUGAUAGCGAUAAAAGGUGGGGCGUGUCAUCCCGAAACAUCCGGGUUUCUUUUUAUGUCUAAGUUAAUUAUAUUGAUCAUAUUGUGCUAUAGGAAUAGUAGUUGUACAUUUCCAUUUCCUUGCAUGCUUUCUUGGUAGUGUAGCGGGGUGAGCUUGACACGUGGACUAGGAUAGUAUGAGGAUUGGGUCUUGUGACAUAGAAUCCUAUAGUGGCAAAAGUGAUGAACUUGGACAUAGCCUAGUAGAGGGGCAUUUAAUUAGUGUGGUAGAAACACUAAACUUGAACGAGUGGCAUGUCAACUAGUAGAAAACUUACUACAAUGAUCAAACGAGUGGCAUUGAGUCUAGUAUAGUAAACUUGACAUGAACCCAGGGAUAGUAGAGGUCCCAACAUUGAUUAUAUAUCAUGAUUGUGCAGUAGAGGCACAUUGACCCUAGUAGACAGGGUAUCCUCUUGAGAGGAUUGGAUCAUACUCACUAGUCUGUUUUCGCUUGUCGGUGGUCGCUCCACCGAGGCACGAGUCUCCGGAGUACUUCACUAGGGGCAGACGUAGUUGUCCCGCAGACGGUCUCGGUGUGCGAGUACAGUUUCUCCUCACCUAUGAGAUUGAGAGUGAGUCGAGGGUUAACCUACGGGUUAACCAAGUAGAUUGGGUAAUAAACAUGAAAUGCAUAGUAGACUUGCAUUAUUACCUUGAGUAGACAUAGUGUAUGUUGUAGUUUACAUUACUAUGCACCUUUAUAUACUCAUGACAUGAUACUAGCAUGAUAGUAGUUGUUGCAUGCAUUAUUAUCAUUGAUGGCAUGAUAGAGUAGUUGCAGUUCGUUUUCUAUAUAUCUAUCUAUCUCUCUAUCUGUGCCAGCUUAGACCUAGUGGGAAAACCGGCGGCGUCGGCGGCCGAACCCACUGGGAACUAUAUUUAUAUAGUUCUCACCCCGUGUGGUUUUGGGGUACAGGUACACACAGAGGCGAGCCGAGCGAGGACCGCGGCAAGGGCAUAGCGCCCUAAGUGAGCCUAGUUAGUAGCUUUUCCUUUAUGCAUUAGAGUACCCUCGUGUACUAGAUGAUGUUUUGGAUAGUUAUGGGAGGGCUACUUAUAUCUUGAAAAAAACAUGUACUUACAUUUUGGAAGAUGAAAAUGUAAUAUAUUCAAAUGAUGUAAAUGUUCAACGGUUGUAAUAGUUAGACUAUCUCUCUUUAUACACUUGUACAUUCACUUGUGGUUCUUGCUCUUAGUUAUAGUGCACUUGUGCGCAUCGUAUCGAUCAUGUAUGUUAUUUAAGCAUUCCCUGGGCGCUUAACUGUACAUGAUCUGGUUGCUUAGCUUUGGGCGGACAGGAAAGGUGCUGUCCGUUCGGCGGUCCGUCCGGCGCGCCCGAACCGUGCCAAAUUGGUAUUGGACUCGGGGCGGGGCGUGACACAAAGGGAAAGAAAUAGGCCUCUAAACUUUAUUUCUUCUAAUAAUACACUCAUGAUUUUGUCCAUUUAGUCAAGAUAUAUUAUUGAUUAUUUAACGAAAUCUCCAAUUCAAUCGACCAAAAUAACUCACAAAUUAUAGGAUAGUUAUUCAGUUCAUGUGAUUGCACUCCAUUAAAUUUUACAAUUAUCAUCUGUCCACACGUUUUCACAAAGUUUACAUCCAAAUUUAAUGAUCAUCCAAAACUCUGUGUAAGGUACCGGACUUCUAAAAUCAUGAAGUUACGGUGUACAUUUGGUUAGUGAGCCAUUAGAAAGGUUCCGGUGAAGUUCGGUGAAGUUCGGGAGCAUUCGGGCGAUUCGGUGCGCGUAGGCGCGGAAACGGAACCCGAAAGGCUAUGUUAGGCCAUGAGUUAAAUCCGGCAUUAGUGUGGAUGAAAAGAUGAAGAAAACAUGCUCGAAAACAUGUUUGGAGAGUCUCGGUUCGAUUUGAAACGAAUCGGAGGUCAAACGGACGAAAACGGAGCAAAACGGACCCCGAAAGCUGAAAAAGCUGAAAAUUUGGCUAAGUCUGGAAUGCUAUUUUUCUGGACAUUGGGGGACCGGUUCCUCAAGUCCAGAGACCGGUCCCAGCACCCGAAAAUGGCCCAGUUUGGGCUGUGUGUGACUUAUAUUGUUGAGGGACCUUUGUGCAAUUGUGCCAAGGGUAUAGAGAGGGUUGGGGGCUUAUUUCCUCUCCUUCUCCCUCACACUUUGUAACCUAAACUCUCCCUCUCUCUCUCUACAAAGAAAAGAAAGAGAAGAAGUAGAAGAGGAAAGGGAAGGAGAAGGUGGAGGAGAAGGCUUGGAGAAGGAGUUCUACUUCUUCUUCUUCCUCUUUUGGCCAUUGGAGAGGCUUGUUUGAGGUAAGCUUUACACCCUCUAAUGGUAGCUUCUAGUUUAUGGGUUUUUAAGCUUUAGAAAUGGGAUUUAAUGGUGAUUUAGAGAUUGUUAAUCUCAUUUGUUGCAAGAUCUAUAGCUUGAUGUUGCUCUUUGCAACAAUGAGGAGUUAGAGCUCCAAAUGAGAGCUUUAAUGGUAGAUCUCUAGGGCUUUGGUCUUAUGCUCUAGAAAUGGAUUUAUUAGCCUUCCUAGAUGCUAAUUAGAUGGAUUGUGUUUAGAUCCAGAGUUCUAAUGGUGGGUUUUUGUCUAAUUGCGACCUAGGGCUCCAAAAUGAGGUUUUAGCAAAUCUUAGGUUAUGAUCUAUUUUGAGUGGUCAGAAACCUAAUUGCCAUGUCUCCGAACGCGUAGGAAGCGACGGUUCGUCGAUUCGUCGAGCGGGUGCGACGUUCCGGCUGAAACAAGUGCUAGAAGGUCCGUUUUGGCCCGAGGAGCCGAGGCGACGUGCGAAGACCGCGAAGACAAGCUUUCUAACCUUUCGGCAUUACCAAAAGGUGGGGGAGUGCCAUCCCGAAGCAGUCGGGCUACUCUUUAUGUCUAAGUGCUAAGUUGACCUAAUUGCAUAUUGUGAUAUUGCAUUAUAGGGUGCUAAAUGUAAUUGUUACCUAUUCUUGCAUACUAAUAGAAUAGUGUAGAGUUGAGUUGCUUAACACCUAAAUCUAGUAUGCAUGAGAUUAACGUCAAAUGACUUGAGACCCUAUAAUGAAGUGAUAGUUGAUAGGAAGUGAACCUGCUUAUGUGAAUGAGAAUCUAGUAUGGUAUAACUAAUGUUUGAGAACAACAAACUUGACGAGUGGCAUCUAGUUAACAUUUAACUUGACGAGUGGCAUCUAGUUAACGUUGAACUUAGGAGAGAACUAGUUCCCAAGUGAUGUUGUCUAGAGUGGUAGGGUAUCCUCAGUGACGGGGAUUUGACCAUACUCAUAUGUCUGUUCAAAGCUUGGUGUGGUCGCUCCACACAAGCAGUGCACUCCGGAGUCGUCACAUGAUAGGGAUAGCCGUUUGGGUCCCGAGGGAUAGCCGUUUGGGUCCCGCAGACAGUCUUGGGCGAGUGAGCUGAUCCUCCCCAGGUGAGUUGGGUGAGUGAGUUGAUCCUCACCUAUGAGUUGAGAUUGGGUUGUCGUACCUAUGUUGAGAGUCGGGCGAGUGAGCGGAUCCUCCCCGUUGUGUUUGGAUUGUGAGUCGGGUGAGUGAGCAGAUCCUCCCCGUUGUGUUUAGAGUGCGAGUCGGUGAGUGAGCGGAUCCUCACCUAUGUGACUGAGUAGACGAGCAUAGUAGUAUGAGAUAGGCUACCUAUUAUGUUGCAGUUUAUACAUGUACUUCUGUUGAAAGCAUAGUAUCAUGAGAUAGGUUGCACAUUAUUAUGUAGUUCAUGCAUUCAUAGCAUUGGAUUGAGGCAUAGUUGGAUAUUAGCAUCGCUUUACAUUAUGCUUACCGUUACUGCUUUCAUAUAUAUCUACCUAUCUUUCCGUCUUCGUCUUCCUAUGCCUGCUUAGACCUAGUGGGUAGAUCGGCGGAGUCGGCGGCCGAACCCACUGGGAACUAUAUUCAUAUAGUUCUCACCCCGUGUGGUUUGGGGUACAGGUACUGUCACGCCCUGGGCUUCAGCGGAAGCUUAUCAGCAACGUGCACAGAUCCGCCGUGUACAUUUCUACCUCAAGAGUACACCAGGCGUCUACAAACAAUAUAGUGAAAUCAAGUGAAUCUAACCAGGUAAUCAGAGCACGACUUAACAUUAAAGUAAACUUAUACAGCUCGAAAUCUUAUUACAACUUAAACAGUAAAGAACAUUCUGUAACAGUCCCAAGGUACAACACUGAGCUAAAUUAACAGAAACUGGUAGUGGUUCAUCUAUUUAACGUCGAGAAAGCUCUAUUUGGCCGUUGACCCCUCGCCAGGAAUCCCUAACCUUUCCCGCUGUGGAAGGCUCUAUAAAACAACAAUAAAAAGAGGGCGUGAGAACUAUUAGACAAUAGUUCCCAGUGGGCAAUUACUGACUUCAGUGAAAUGCACCACUAGGCUAACCUAAGAAUGCUGUAAAAAAUAACUGAACAAGCAAGUAUGAAAUACAAGUAUGAAGAGUAAGUAUGAAUAUCAAUUCAUCAUAUAUGCUAAGGACAAUUUAAAGUCAUAUACUAGUUUGCAUGCAAAUAUUUCAUUACAUCAGGAUUAACUGAAUAUGUUUUGUAACUACAUCUUAUAUUAUUAAGAGUGUAACAUACUGUCACUACGUUAUCAGUUAAUCAAGAUGUCAAUCUGUAAGCCUGUUUUCAUUAAGUUACCUAGCCAAUGACAUAAAGUAGCCUUACUACUAUGUUUAUCUCAGAUUAAAAUAACUCAUGAUAACCCAAUUCACAGUAGACUUACACAAGGUAAAGUCAUAGCCGCGCCGUGCCUAAUGGCCCCGUGGUAGUAUACACUCCCCACAGCAAUCCACUUCGGCGCUCAAAUCCAAACACAAGUGAGCAAUCUGUCACUAAGCUACUCCGGAGUGCUGGGCUUGGGGGGCGCGACCCCCACAAGCGUGUGCGAAAGAGCGUAAUGGCAUACAAGCUGUAAUCCAUAGUACCAGUAUCACAACAUCAUCAUGUCCUUGACAUGGAAUCUCAACUCGACUCAGGGUCGACACUGUAGUACUCAAGUUACCUGUCACUCUCAACUACUUGUUGACAUAAUUCUCAUAAUAGCUAGUAUAACUUAAUAAGUUCAAACUUUACAUCAUAAUAGUAAUUCUAUCAGGCUAUACCUGUACAUUAACUUCUAGUCCUCUCACUACUCCUUAUUCAUAAGGAAAGUGGUUCAUUGAAGUCAUCUCUAAUGACUCAUGGCACAUUCUAGAGUUCAGCAUAACUUCCCGCUAUUUGGAGUAAACCACUAAUGUACAAUAGUUUCUACUUGAUCAUACCAGUCUAUUGUCAUGUUCGACUCUAGGUAUUCCAAGGUCUUAUUCAGAUUAUAACAUUCAUGUUACCAAUAUUUGAUAAAAGCAAUGACCAACUUGUCCAUAUAAGCAUGUGACAUUAUUAGACGUGGUAUGUUAAGAGUUCCAUUAAUCGAUACAAGUAACUCAAAAAUAUAUCCUUCACUUAGUAAUCCUGCAGAAUUAAAUGUCAUGCUCAUAAUUUUACAGUUAACAUAUCUGGAAGGAUGUGUACUUUACUUAUUUGCACUAUUACAUUCAUAACCUGAAUACAUGCUAAGUAAGCACAGUUUAUAUGAAUCCGGCAAUUUCAUAAUUCGUCCUUUACCAUAUACAGGUUUCAUGGUAUGCAAUCUAAUGUACAUUCUGCUGCAUAAUUUCAUCUCAAGAUCCUCAUCCCUUUGAUGUCUGGUAAAGUUAAAAGUCACCUCAAGCUUUCCACCAUUCCUUCCUCUUGAAGGGUGUCAGCUCUACGAGCUUAUACGAGCUAAUACAAGCUAUUCAUUUUAUGAACAUGCACAAAUGGAGCAAUUAUUCUAUAUGAAGUAAACAACUUCAAAGUUCUUCCACUAUUACUCAACGAUACUCAGCAUGAUAGGCGCAUUAAUAUAUGUCUUGAUUCCAAUAAGUAUACAUGCAUUCAUAUACAUAUGCAAUAACCUUGACUCAUAAGUCAAAGGAAACAUAGAGAAACUUACUCAUUUCAAGGAGGUCAAACCCACCUGUUUGCUGUCAACUUUUGUUGCUCCCAUAAUAGAAGUAAUCUAUUAUAGUGCUAGAGCUUGAAUCUCAAUUUUGAUUCAGGUUGGGACACCAAAUUCCAUCGUAGAAAGCUCUCUAAUUUCAGCUGAACAAGAUUAGAUAGCCUGCUGCAAGUUAGUAUCAAAACGGCACCAAUAUACAUCUCAAAUUGUAUAGUAGAAACCAGAAUUUCACCUAGGUUUAGCUUAAUGCUAAUCCUUUACUUUAACAUCAGUUGAAGCAUCCCGAUUCCAGCUCUCAAUGGUCACUAAUUCAUCUCAAAGAGGCUUAAUCUCCUGCUGAAUUGGUAUAAAAACUGUUCCAAAGUUACAGCUAAUCCAAUCAAUUAAAGAACUAGUGGGUAAUAUACCUUCCAAUGGCUUUAGUUCAGUUCUAAAAUAGGUAAACAUAGGUCAAGCCAGCUUCAGAAAUCAUCCCAAGUUCAGAUAAGAUGUUCACAUUUUCUGCUGGAACUAACCACCAAUUCAGCACCAAUUACUAAUACUACUAUUACUAUUUCAGCAUUAGAAUAGAGGAAGUAGCCAUUUAAUCACCUUCCCAUCAUCACCUCAGCUUUUCUUUAGCUCAGGAUCCAUGAUUCACCCUCAGAGUUUAUUGCCAAUACCGUCAAAACCAGGCGCAAGGUUCAUCAAGCUUCCUGCGGUGACCUCGCUGCAAAACAGUUCCCAAAACUGCAUCAACAUACACCCUACCAUAUUCCAACAGGGAAGAAAGUAACUAGUUGAUCUUCUCAAACUCAUAACUCAGCUCCAACUGAGUUAGGGUACUAUAAAAUACCCUAAAUAUCUACCAAAUCAUUCUCUCAACCAGCUGUAAACAAGAGAUUAAGAACUCACCUCAUCUUUAUUCCAUAGCAUCAAUUAAGGGAAAGUUGAGUACUUUACCUUACUCAGCUAUGAUCCCUAUUUCUAUUGAGUUAAGGCUGUGAAUACCCUCUCCCAAGAUCAUUUCCCUUCCUCUCCAAAGCUGCUCCAAGUUCUCCAAAUCAGUAAACACCAAAGAGAGGGAAAGAAAUCAGCUCCAAAACCUUGCUUCCUUGUAGAGAGAGAAAAACUCUAGAGAGAGAGAAAGAGAGGCAGCUCCCCCUGCUUCUCAAAGCUUCCAGCUGAUAAGAACAAGCUAGGGGUCGAGCUGAGCUGAUAAGGAUCAGUUAGGGAAGUGAAAAGACCGAAAAAACCCUGCUGCCACGUAACUGCUGUGUUGGUGCUUGCUGUACCGGUACAGCAUCAACCCUGUACCGGUACACAUUGCAAAAUCUGCUCAAUAGGCAGUAGCAAUGCACUUCGUCAUUCCCUGCCAUUAACUCACUCUCAUACUUGUCCACUACCCUCUCUAAACCCAUUAGAACAUGUAGGAUAGUUCCAUUUGUUAUCCCCACUCGUCAGACUUCAUAAUCAGUCAAAUUUAAAUAUCCCCUUUGAACUUCGCACUUCCAUGUCACAAGAGCAACGCACUUUUACCCUUCCGGCUGUUUAAUCACUCUUAUAACUAGUCAAGGACCCCCUUGCCAAUCUUUAAAAAAUGUGAGUUAGCUCCAGAUACCAACCCCACAUUCGAAUUUCACAAUUAACCAAAUUCGGGGUAUACAAAUUUGAUAGUGCAUUUGUGAUGCGCUUUUCCACUUCUGGCCUCUUGCUUGCUUUAGUAACUUACUGGAAACCUCUCAUAAUCCUUCAGAGAUCGUAGAAUAGUUCCAACUACUAUUCUACCACUUGAGCUACGCAAUUCGCCCCAAAGUUCAGUGUAUUACAGGUACACACGAGAGAUCUCCGGCCGAGGACCGCGGUAAGGGCUUAGCGCCCUAGUAUUUGUAGUAGUUACUUUCCUACUUGCAUUAGAGCUACCUAUACCUUUUGAGAGUAGAUGAUGUAUAGGUGUGAGGCUAUUUUGGAAAUUGUAAGCUUUAAGUUCAUGAUGUAUUAUGGAAGCUUUAAUUGUAGUUAAAUGUAUUAAAGUUGAAUGGAUGUAAUAGCUAGUUAUUUCUCUCUUUUAUUCACUUGUUCACUACUUGUGAUGCUUGCUCCUUAUAUGUUUAGCACUGGUUGUGCUCUCGCUAUUGUUGGAUUGUGUAUGUUAUCAAGUUGUUUUCCUGGGCACUUGUUGUACACAAUCUCGUCGCUUUAGCCUUGGGCGGACAGGGGAGGUGCUGUCCGUUCGGCGGUCCGCCCGGCGCGCCCGAACUGGGCCAAAUGGGUUUCGGCUUCGGGGUAGAGCGGGGGCGUGACACUCUGGGCCUAUUGAGACAGUGGCAAAUUGCAAUUAAAAAUCGAUGCAACUUUUUAAGCCAAAAUGCAAUAGGAUUGCAGGCUAAAGUGCAAAGAGAUUUUUGUAAUUUAGCCCAAAAUUAAAUUAAAUUAACAGGGCGUCAAUCAAAAGAAAAUAAAGUUCAAGGGCCAAUUUCAAGAUUGUUUAUAAUUGAGGUGGUCUUCAUACACUUUUACCCUUAAUUUUUAUUUUAUAUUAAUUUUUUUUUCUACAUUGUAUAGAAGAUGGUAGCUUUUCACUGGGAAGUUUUGCCAAAAAACUUUCUACAGUAGACAACGCUUGUAUGGCAGAAUUAGCCAAACAAUAUAGACCUUUUCUUUCCCAGCACCACGCUUCUGCAACCAAAGUACACCCUACAGCCAAGUCAAGCAAACCCUAUCUCUUGCAUCUUUAGAGAGCUCAAAUCCAAGGUGGUUUUGUAAAUUUGAAUGGACUACCAUAAGAAAUCAGUACUAGAGGCACUACAUAACAUUUAGUAGCUUUUUAUUGGGCUCUAUUUUCCCAAUGAUAGUAGAUUGGCUCAUUAUAAAACAUCAUAAUUCAUCAAAUAGCUAAUUGUAGACAAACAGCCAGGAUACUCUUUUAUAGAACCCAGCUACUAUCCUUUUAGGGGGACGGAGGCCUUCGUCCUCCUAAGUAGUUUUAGAUGAUAGGGAUCCCGAAUCGAUGAUCAGAACCGUUAAAGUUGAUCUAGAGUAUUUAAAGUGUCUAAAACCAAAUUUCAUGAAUUUUAAAAUUAUUUACGUAUUGAUCAAAGGAUCACAAAAUCGACAGUUUUUUAUGGCCUAUAUGAGCCGUUUGCUUGUUUAACAGCGUAAAACAAUCCAAACAGCUUGAAUUUUUGGUAGAAAAUUUUUUAUAUUAUUUAGAAAACGUUUGGUAACUCUGAUCAUGAAUUGAAAAAGUCUAACAUUUAUGUUCACAAGGUUAUUUGUUUUCUACUGUUUAUUUUUCGACUCUUCAAUGAAUUUGAUAACGAAUUUUAAAAUUUAUGGAAUUUAGUUUCUAAAUGUUAUAAAUACUCUGUUCCGAUCAUCGCGACUUAGGAGGACGAAACCCUCCGUCAUCCUAAAAGGAUAGUAGCUGGACUCCUCCUUUAUAAUACUAUAGAAGGACCAUAUUCAUUAGUCUAUUCAAUAAGACGAAAAAAGUAAUGACAACAUCAUUUUGAAUUUAGAAAAUGUUAGGUUAGAAAUUUUUUUAAAUGUAGAUUAAUAAAAGAAGCAAAAUAUGCAUCACUAAUGUCCACAAUAUAUGUUUAGACUUUAAACUAUCUGAAAUGACACAAAAGUGGAGAUAACAAGACAUACCAUAUCCCAAAAUUAUGGAGCAAAUUAGAAAACCUAGUAAAGAGAAAUCCAUCUUAUAGAAUAUCUCCAUUAAAAUGAUGCAUCCUCCUGAAACCAGUAAGUGCCUUGGAGAAGAGAAAACAAGGUGCAAUCUGCAAGCAAAUCCCAUGGAAGUUAAAGCCCCAAAACAUCUAAAUUUUAAAAGAUGCAGAAGAAAAUAAUUAGUAGAAAAUCAAAAAACAAGGCAAAGAUCGACCUAAAUUUCUUGAUUUUACAGGUUUCCUAGAGAUGCCCUUUACGAUUUUGGUUCCAGUUGGAGAGAUUACUGGACAAUGAUGCCCUUUAGGGCAUAUUUGGUUUAGGUUAUCCUGUCAUGAUUACAGUCAAUUUUGCCAGGAUCACUGCAUUUUUGUUCAUUUAGUAUGUAAUCUGAUCGAUAAUGUAACAUUACAAAUGGUGCAGAUUACUCCGAAAAUAUUAUCGAGCGAGGGGUGGUAUCUAUCUUACUGAUGGAAAGUUAUCUUACAUGUUAUAUAAAAUUACAAGUUUACCCCUCCAACCCUUCCACACCCCUUCAAUGUGUCAUUUCUAAAAUUUUUGUUUAAAAUUUUCAAUUAUCAAAUUUUAAAUUUUAAAUUUAAAUUUUAAAUUGUCAAAUUUUAGAUUUAAAUUUUUAAAUUUUUAAUUUCAAAUUCUAAAUUUCAAUUUUAUAUUUUAAAUUGUAAAAUUACAAAUUUCAAAUUUAUAUUUCAAAUUCUAAAUUUUAAAUUUCAACUUAAAACUUAAAUUUAAAAUUUUAAAAUCUAUAAUUUAUAAUUUAAAUUUGAAAUUUAAAAUUUUAGAAUUUUAAAUUUUAAACAUCAAAUUUAUAUUUUUAAAUAUAAAUUUUAAAUUUAGAUUUUAAAUUUUAAACAUCAAAUUUAUAUUUUUAAUUCUAAAUUUUAAAUUUAGAUUUUAAAUUUUAAAUUUAAAUUUAAAUUUAAAUUUAAAUUUAAAUUUUUAAAUUUAUAAGUUCAUAUUUAUAUUUUAAAUUAAAAUAUUAAAUUUUAUAUUUUUGUUUAGAUUUAAAAUUUUGAAUUUUAAAUUUAAAAUUCAAAUUCAAAUUCAAAUUUUAAAUUAUUUGAAAAAAAAUUUGUAAAAAAUUAUUACUUGUAAAGAGUAAAAAUUUUUUGCCAAAUAUGACUAGGGCGCAUUUUGUUCAAGUUAUGUAAUAUUACAAAGUAUUUCGAUAUAUCCAGGUAUCCUGGAUUUCUAAAUAAGAAUACUACUAAUGCUGCAUUAGCGCGUUUGGUUUAAUGCAGUAAUAUAAUACUGGAUUGCAGUGUUUAUAGCAUUACUAUAUUUGGUCCAGUCUAUAAAAUUUAGUAAUCUUGACAAUAAAGUAUAAUCUAUUCCAAAAUUGACCUUAUAGCUAUUUUUGGCAAACUUUUUUUUACUCUUUACAAAUAAUUUUUUUUAUUAAAUUUUAUUUUAAAUAAUUUAAAUUUUUUCAAAUUUUAAAUUUGAUCAAAAAUAUAAAAUUUAAUAUUUUAAUUUAAAAUUAUAAAUAUGAAAUUUAUAAAUUUAAAUUUUAAAAUUUUAAGAUAAAUUUAAAUUUAAAAUUUAAAAUUUAAAAUCUAAAUUUAAAAUUUAGAAUUUUAAAUAAAAUUUUGAAUUUUAAAUUUUAAAUUUUAAAUUUUAAAAUUUGAAAUUUGAAGUUUAAAAAUUUAAAAUUAAAAUUUAAAAUUUAAAAUUUGAAAAUUAAAAAUUCAAAUUCAAAUUUUAAAUUUUAAAUUUGACAAUUCAAAAUUUUAAAUUAACAUUUUUAAAAUGACAUAUUGAAAAUUUUUUGGGAGUUGGAGGGGUGAACUUGUAAUUUUAUAUAACAUGCAAAAUUAGCCGCUUUCAGUAAUCCAAGAUACACACCCCCCCUGUAAUAUUUUCGGUGUAAUCUUACACCUUCUGUAAUGUUACAAUACCGAACAGAUUAGAUACCGAAUUAACCAAAUGUAGUAAUACUGGCAAGAUUGCCUGUAAUCCUACCAGAAUAACCCAAACCAAACAAAUCCUAAGGGCAAUUUUGGAAUACACUACAUUUUAUUGUUAGGGUUACUGAAUUUUAUAAAAUGAACCAAAUAUAGUAAUUCUAUAUAUACUGUAAUCCAACAUUAUAUUACUACAUUAAACCAAGCACAGUAAUACAGCAUCAGCAGUAAUCUGAUUUAGAAAUCUCAGAUAUAUGGUUAUGACGAAAUAACCUGUAAUGCUACAUAACGCGAACCAAAUGUGUCCUUAAAUGAUUUUGGUUCCUAUUAGAAAGGUUACUUUCUCAGUGUGGCCAUUAGGUUUGUGCCAAAUCCCACAUAUUUCCUCAUUUCUUCUGUAUUUAUUUCUCAACUAAUUAGAAAACUUAUUUUAUUCGAAAAAAGUCUUAAUGUACUGUAAUAAUUAGCCAUUCAUCAUAAUAAUGGACUAUAUUCUGUUAACUAUACUUUUUGACUUUUCUUAGUUGCAUAUUGGAGUUUCUCAUACAUUUCAAGGCGUCCUACUAUUUACCUAGUGAAAAAAAAAAAAAAAAAAAAAAAAAAAAAAAAAAAAAAAAAUCUAUAUUGGAGAAAGUACAAGUACCAUGCAUGUAAAUAACAAUUAUCAAUAUCAUUUACAGAAAAUAAAUUUUUGCCAUUGUUGAAAAGCAAAAUGGUGAUAAGUUGAUUUAUAAUGCAGAAAGAAGCAACUGUUGGUUUUGUUUUUUAUAAUAAAAUAAAAUGAUCAGCAGUAGUGGAUCUCUUUCGUCUCUAUUUUUUCAGGAAUAAUGCUAUAUUUUCACAAAAAUGAAAGCAUAAAGAGUGCACAAAAAAGAAAAAUAAAAAAUCUGAAUGCAAAUACUUUGUCCCAUGAGGUAGUUAAUCAUUUGAAUUAAGAAUUUGUGACAACAUACCUUUCCUCUGCAACAUUGUCAAUAUAGUAUAUAAAGAAAAUUCCAAAAACAAUUGUGCUCAAAUAAGCCCUGCUCGGAAACUGAAACUUAAUUAUGCUAUCGGAUGUCGACCCCUGCACUCAAUCAGCAAACAACAAACAUGAACUUUUCUACCCCUAGUAAAUAAAAAGGGAAAAAUCUGUGGCAUAAGAGCUUGCAGGCCAUAGCUAAAUAUUAAGAAAACAUUUUUUUGUGUAAAAGAGAUGUGUUGUUAACCUAUACUCACUAAGAUUGUAUCCCACAUGGCAACAGGAAAAAGAAAGCACGUAGCUGAAGCAACAGUUAUUGCAUGAAGCCGCCUUUUGAGCUGAUUCUGCAGGCAAACAAUGGAAAUAGUUAGCUAUGCAAGUUGACUUGUUAAACCACAGCAGAAAUUACUAGGAAAGAUGGAACGAUGCUCAAUUCUUCAAGAACAAAAAGUAUAUUGGAAAGGGAAAAAAUUCAAAAAAAAAAAAAAACCUUCAAAGAAAUACGUCUUGCUAUCACCCUUCUCAAAGCUGAUAAAAUACCAGCAGAGAUUGGCGCCACCAUUUCUUUCAUUCCUAAAGGUUGCUUUUCCUGCACCACCUGUUCUCUCCCAAAGCUAGCUAUAUCAAGUCAAGUCUCCCAAUGACACGACAGCAACAUUUGCACAUCGUAUGAUAUCAUAAACUACAUAUUAGAACAGCAUUCAGCUUUGCUGCCGCAAUAACUUGUGAUGCAUUAGUUCCGCAAAUUAAAAUAUUCAAGAUUAAAAACGAAUUUGGAUACAGAAUGGCGAAUAUGAUCUGGUAGCCCACCCAUUUGAUAAGAAAUAAUAUGAUGCCAUCAUUGCAGCGAGUCCACCAAACUGUACAAAAGUCAGAAAGAAAUCAGAAAAACUAUUCAAAUGUUGCUAAGCUUAACUUCAUUUACAAUUAUCUAUUAUGAUCACCAUCCCAGUUUACUGGUUAGUGAUACCAGAGUAGAGAUUCUACAAGUCACUUUCUGAGCACAAGGAAAAAUUUUGUGGUUUCUGAAGCAUCAAUUAUCAAGAACAUUCAAAAAUGAAAUUAAAAUCUUAAUAGGAAAUAAAAUGCAAAUAGCAAGUCAUAACAUGCACUUUUGUAUGCACAUGCAUAUGCACACGUGUUUUUGUGCAAGGGACCCACGAGCACCGCACAUGCCCAUGCGAAUGAAUAUAGUGAAUCAAAUAGUGAAAAGGAAUAAUGUUGUCGAUUAAACCCUAGUACAUGUUAAAAUAGCCGAGUGCUUUCUUGAUUUCUUUAGAGAUGACUAACAGUAACAUAGAAAUGACUAACAUAAAAAGAUAUGCAAUAAUAGAAACAUCUCCGUGAUACUAUCAGAGUGUAAAGUGCACCAUCCUAGUUGAAGCCUGCCAGCAUGUGGCCAUGUUAAUUAAUAUUGCUGUGGAAAACUAAUUUGAACAAACAAUGCAUAUGCUUCCUCCAAAAUUUCUAAGCAACUUACCUUCUUCCAAAUCCAGACUCUCCUUCCAUACAAUGCUGCUGAGAGAACUCCAAGAAUAGCACCAGCAUACUCCGCAAUUAGAGCACUAAAAUCUCAAUAUACAAGAGUAAAUAACAGUUUAGCAGCUGCUUGCCAUAAAAGAAGAGAAAGAAAUAAGAGAAUUAUUAGCUUUGUCGACACGUAUUGGUUUAUAGUGCAGCACACAGAAGCAGCAUGCAAUAUAGUGACUUUCUGCAAGGAAGAGACAGCCUCCUUGCUGAGUUAGCAAUUCUUGCAAGGAAGCAAUCCUCACAAUACUCACACGGAAGCACCAAAUAAGCCAAGCAACAAAACAUUCAACUCUCAUAAACAUGCCUAAACACAAUUAAACUUACAUCCUAGGGAAAAAAAAAAUCUAAUAUUGAAAAGCUUUUGUUAACCAAUUUGCUGGAGUUAACUAUAAAAUAAUGUAAAUUAUAUUAUUAUACUGAGUUUGACUACUCUGCUGUAUCCUGCACUUGAACUCAGCAUUUUGCUAGGUCUGUCUCAUAUGUCACAUUUGCAGUGAAUCCACCAACAAUAUAUAUAUUCUUGAUAAGAAAUAACUUUUGCAAGUAUACUUACACAAGUGGCCCACAAGAAAGAAGGCCUUUUCCCCAUAAAGUGUAGUAUAAUGCCAUUAUUCCUCCAUUGAUCACUGUAGGUAUGACCUAAAAACUUUUGCCCGUUUUAGUACAUGUGAGUGGGUUUAAAUACAAGAAGGAAUAUAUCACUAUAUAUGAGUAUAGCGCAAACUAGAGAAAGAGCCAGAGAGAAACCUGUGAGUUCGGCAAGGGCCUGCCUUUCCAAGGCUUCUGCAGUACAAGGAAGACGAUAGAAGAUGGAACCAGGCAACUAAAAAUAAAAGCUACCACUGAAUCUCCUUUAUCAGAUAGUGAUGCGACCCCAACUUUCCUUUUUAAUAGUUUCCUUUUAAUAAACAAGUUCAAAUUUAAAUAUCUUGUUAUUUAGGAAUAUAUUUAGGAAUACGCAGUUAUCUUGUUUGGGAAUAGAUUUAUUAGGUAUGAUUAGGAGUAGUUUAAGGAUUUGGACUCUAUAUAAUGUAACCCGGAGUUACAAGAAAUAAGAAAGUAAUAUUAUCUCUUUUUCCUCAUAUCUUGUCUUCUCUUUCUACCUCUUCUCUCUACUUCCCUACCUCUCAAUUCUUUCGGAGGUUCGAUCCCCUCGAAGUUAUCGUUUAUCCCUAUUGAUACGGUAGGACCGUAUCAUUUGGUAUCAGAGCUUAUAUGGUCCUGACUCGAGCAAAAAAGAAACUCUUACGAAAGAUGGACGGAGAUUUCGUACGAAGGGAGGAAAUGAACAACGUUGAUACUCGAUUGAACAAACUGGAGAUCGAGGUAAAGUCCAUUAGCGAUUCCAUUAACAAUCUUAAAAAUUUAAUUAUCGCUAUGAACACAAAAAUGGAUCUGCGACCACAAGCACCGUCCGUAGAUACAUCCGCCUCCAGUUCCGAUAAAAAUCGUCCCCUUUUUCCUAAUCCCUUCAAGGAAGGGAUUCCUCGAAAUACGAGGAUUAGACUUCAUUCAGGAUCGACCGAGGGUCGUGUUGGUGAGCUUUGGAAAAGCCAAAGAUGUUAAAAUCACCAAAAGUGCAUUGGAAACGAGUCCACGAGAGCAAAUGGUGCGAAAUCUGCACUGGAGCAAAACUGCUCUCGGGGACCGGUCCCUGGCAGGGAGGGACCGGUCCCAUCAGCGGGUGUUGCGGGGUUGCUUGAGGCAACCGGUCCCUGGCAGGGAGGGACCGGUCCCCGAACGUGAUCCCAGCGAGAAAGCCAGAAAUUUGGCUAAGUCCUGAAAAUAUUGCUCUCGGGGACCGGUCUCUCAGGCAAGGACCGGUCUCCCGAGGACCGGUCUCUCUGGGAGGGACCGGUACCCGAACGCGUGACCCGAGCUGAAGCUCUCGGGGACCGGUCCCAAGUCGGGGAGACCGGUCCCUCCGCGCGCAGAAUGCCCAGUAA